UUUUUUUUUGUAUGGAGAAAUUCUACUUAGAACCCCUCAAUAUACCUCCUAUGAUCUCCACCAAAAGCUAGUCAUUGGGGCUUUGCUUUAUACGAAUUGAUUUUCUUGAAAAAGAAAGAACCUUAAUUUGGUGCUACUGACAAAUUCUAAAACAGAUGAAUUAACACUUUCAGUUUUCUCGUCCAAAGUCAACAAAUUUUGGACCUAUGCAGCCCUUCCUAAAAAAUUUAGCAAGUCUCUGUGUGAGUGUGUGGGGGGGGAGGCAUGAGGUAAAGAUAUAGUAUGCCACUUCUCAUCCCAUAUUGAAUAUGGAGGAUAAGAUCAACCAGUCUAUGAAGCCUAGUACUUGACCAAAAAAGGGGGGAUUUGACAUCACUAAUGAACAAUUUCUCAAGAACCUGAAGUAGAUGGCUGUUCUUAUGCAUCAUUUGAUUAGAAUAGAGAUACUCUCUCAUCUUUUGUCUCCAAAGCUUUAAGAACCCCAUGUUACCACCAGCCCACCAACCAACGAACAGACUUAACUUUUUCUUCAAUUUCUAUGUGUCUGUCUAGUGUCUGUGCCUAACUAAUCUUUUCAUGCUGGAAGAGGAUGACUUCUUAGCAAUCCCACUUUCCCACUUACUCCAAGUUUUUUUAGGGGUAGGGGGACUUACACGUAAUACCCAAAUACUAUCUAUCACUCUGCUGGGAUUACUGUUUUGUGUAUUGUACAUUUUCGAAACAUACAAAAAUUUUGAUGCAAUAUAUACCUUAUCAGCCAAAAAGGCCCCAAAACCAGCCUUUUGCUUGAAAUAAUAACCUAAAAAAAAACUUCAGAUUCAAAACUGCACAAGAUUAGAAGCAUCAAGCAUCGACAUCAUCCAGUAAUAAUAAGUACUAGAUAGCCAUCUCUGCUGAUUGAAAGAAUUUGAGACUCAGAAUUUUUCAAAUUUAGCAGUAGCAAGCAUCAAUACCUGCUGAUUACACUAAAAAAUAAUAGUAGCUAGCAUUAUAUCACUACAGAUGUUUUCCAACGUAACUAAUUAGUUUUACAAACCAGUAAAUGUCUCCAAAUAAAAGCUGCAAACACAGGUCGAAACAGGGAUACCCCAAUCUACAAAUAUCAAAUGUACACCUUGCAAAUAAAAGUAGCCAAAAGAAGCAGAGAAUUCUGUUGUAUCAAAUCUUCUAGCAGCUGCUCUCUCUCCUCUUCUUGAUGCUGCACCAAGUGAAACCCUGCAGAACAUUGAUGAAGCUUUGUUUAACGAUUCAACAACUUGAAAAGUAAGUCAACUGUGAGACGGAAAAUAGAAAGCAAGGCAAGAAGAUCACACGAUUGCGAAACAAUAAUCACGUCCAGAGGUCAACAGCAACUUCAUCCUCCACGUCCAAAUUAGGCUCCUUGGCAUUCAUAAUCUUGGAUACCAUCAAAUCAUCGAAUCCCAUAUCAGUCCUCGAGUGUUGCUUCAACAGUUGUUGCUCCGACUCAUCCUCGCUAACUGAAUCAUCUCCCAUGAACUUCUUCCAUAGUUUCUGAUCAGCAGUUUUUUUUGAUUCUGCCAUUGAAGUGUUUGCCUCCUGAUCAUCUUGGUCCAUGCCACAAGCUUCAUCAUCCGUGGACUUUGUUGUGGUUUUAGAGCUUUGUGGUAGAAUCACUCUUCUUCUUUUCAUGGUCUGAAGGAUUUCAAGUUCUGGUUCUUCCUCCACACACUAAAUUAUCUUCUCAACUAAGGCGGGGCUGAAUAUUCUGGCUAAGACCUUGAUCAAUGCUUUUGACUUAGCCUCCAUUCUUUUCAUAUUUUUCUUGAAGGUGGCUAUGCUACUCUCAAGUUUCCCCAUAUUAUAUUUUGAUCUUGUGAUGUCUUUCUUCAGUGUAUUCAUGUGAUCCUCAAAAAUUUCCAGCUCUGCCUCCAUUGAAGGCCUUGCAGCCGUUACGUGUUGUUCCCUCGAUCCUCGUCUUUUCCUGGUUGUUGGACCUUCAUCAUUUCGCCUUCUAAUGUUCAUUAGCAAAUGUUCCUGCCUUCUCUGAAACCAUUUAUUCUCGUAUUCAUAUUGCCUCAGUCCAAUCUUCCUGAAUCCCUAUUAAGUUUAGAAAGCAAACAAUCAGAAAUUAGUGGGGGAGGAUCCCAAUUGCUGUUGAAUUCGAGUCUCAACGAGGAAUUUAUUUGACAUUCAAACUGCAAACACAAAGCAUGAGCAAAAGUAGUAAGCAUAAGUACAGGAAAAAGGCAUUUACCUAGGUUCAUGAGUUGUGAUAGACAUAACAAAUUCUUGCAGAGACUUUCUAAUGAUGAUAAAAAAAUUAUCUAAAGAAUACGAUAUCCAUGCUAUAAAAAAGGAUUUACUCUAAAAGGUAUGUACUAAUCUAAAAUGCAUAAAAUCACAUAGUUGUUGAGUUGGUAGAUGAAGCUUGAGAAAUUGUUGUGCUUGAAAUAUUUUGGUAGAACCUCUGCAGCAAAUUUGAGAUGGUCCAGGACUAUUAGGCUGGUACCUUCAGAAUUCCAAGAAAUCAUGUUGUUUGUCUCUGUAUCCUCCACCAUUUGAAAGGUCUUCGUCAAGAAGGGGGGCGGAGUGAAACCACGCACUCCCUUCAUGAAUUCCAUCUUCUCUGAGGCCUGCUUGGAGGGUAGCGAAGAUGGCCUAACAAUCCCACCAUUUCCGGCUAUUCCUCCACCACGUACUUCCAUUGUAUCUUGACGAGUUGUUUUGCAUUCCAUGAGGUAGUAGUCAAGACCGUUUUAAGUUUAAAGAUGUUUAGAUGGGCUAAACAAACUGCCCCUACAUGCAGUGGCUGUUCUUAAGUAAAAUUCCAUCAAAAAGGUUAGUCCUUCUCUGGUGAAAUCAUGACUUUCAAUCCACUAUCUUUCAAUUACCAACCUUAGCAAGAACGAGUCUAAUACUGUUCUAUUACUGCCUUAUUCACCAAGAAUAUAUUCCUCUUGCAACUUAUUUCGUAAACAAAGCACAAUCUGAUUUUUAUCUCCAUAUUUGAGUGGCCUUGAUUGUUCACCUAAGAAUCAAAGUAGGGGGAGGACAACAUCAUUUUUAAAGCAUGUUUCUGGUGUCCUUGUACUUCGAAAUGAGUUGUUAAUAGAAGCUGCAUUAGUGUACUCUAGACUUAUAUAGAUCAGCAAUCUACCUCGUCUACUUUGCUUUCCUUUCCAAGUAUCAUUCGAAAACAGGCGACUAGGAUGUAGCUAAGUUUUGUGCCAUAACCAGCCUUGUUCCUUAACGUGUCAUGUAAAUUAACUUUGAUGUAAUUACAAGAUUGAAGCAUUUUGGAAUCUGAGGGGAAACAAAUUGAAGAAAAGAAAGGAGACAUAUGGUAUGAAAUUUGAUCCAUCUAAUCAUUAUUUAGUUUUAAGGAUGAAUUGGUUGUCUUUUUCAUAAUCCAAGGCACAUCGAUAUACAAUUAAGACAAGGAGGAAGGAUGAUAAGUGAAACUCCUGUUAUUUGUUUUGGCAAAUGAGUACAACUUCUGUUAGUGUGACAGAAAAAACUGCGGAAGAUUAACAACCAUUUCUGUAUAGGAAAAGAGAUAAAAUCAUUUAUCCAUUUACAGUGAUUACCUCCAUUCCUAAUUGAUAAUGAGAGAUAAUCACAGUUAACUUGAGAAUUUGGCCCAUUUCCCAGAAAAUCUUGUUUCAGAAUGUUUACUGCAGUAGGGAAUAAACCUUGCAUUUGGAACAUUUCCUUGUUUGUCAAAUGGGAGCUUUUACAAUAGCAGUAAAGCAACAGAUAGAAACAUGAGGAUUUCUCAAUUCAAAACAACUUAGUUCCUCCAAAGAGAAUAAGUGAUAAUUACAGUGCAAUACCUCUUUCCGCAUAGGACAAGUGCAAGCUUAGUAGCUUUAACACUUGAAGUAAAGUUCUGGUUUCAUUUACUGGUGUUAUUGUGGUGAAAAAUAAAACCCAGACCAGAUUGUAAACAGACUAAUGGAAGCAAAUUUGUUCCAAAUAAAAGGCACUCUGAAACCAUGUUUAGAGGUCGUUGCUGAGUUCAAACCUUUGCAGUAGCAAGGCAUCCAAACAAACUAGAAAGAAAUGUAGUUCAAUUGAUCAAGACAUCUUUUACCUUUAAAACACAUUGAAGUAAUAUAAGUCUCAAGAAGUCUGACAAAGUCAGUAGUGAAUGAGUUGAAAUAGUCUGAUGGACAAAGAAAAAAAGAAAAAGAAAGAUAGAAUAAAAGUUGGACAUCAUCUGAUAUUCAUAGAGGGAAUUGCUCCUGAACUGGUUUUGCAAGAGAUAUGGCAAUCCCGUGAAACACCAUGAUGAGGUACCUGACAUAGAAUAGCUGAUAAAUGUGAUUAAGAGAAACUGAUAUCUCAAUUGUGCAAAAGAAAUUACAAGUCCAGGUAAUACCAGUAAAAUCAACUCUUGAACUCCUAACUCUUGGCUUUGUUACCUAUCCCUUUAGCAAACUCAUUCCAAUCUGCCGGUCCUUCAAUCAAAUCCUCCAAAGGGAUGACAUCAUUUUGCUGAAGAUUUUCUCUUUCUUCUUCAGGCACAUUCUCACAGCUUAUAUCAUCCAUUAGCUGCUUCUCUAGCGAUGAGUAUACUGCUGUAUAGAAAUCAGAAAAUUUUCCCAUGGAAACAGUACAAUCCUCCUCCUCCUGAACAGCAGUGCUCAAGUCAACAUUUGAAAAUGUCUUUCCCGUACCUGAUUGUGCCCUAGGAGAGUUUUUCCGGCUUCCAUGAGAUGUUCCGCCUUCUUCUAGGAGCUCUACUGAGCUCUCAAUGCUUUGUCGUCCACCUGAUCCUUGAUCAUUUGCAGCAUCAUUGCUCUGCAGCUCUUUUUUUCUUAUCAGAACUUCAUGGAUCAUAUACUUCAGCAUAUUUUGUCGCUUGGAUGUAAUACAUUGGGCUUGUUUCUCAAGGAUUUCUGUUUCUUUCACUAAAUUUGCUUCCAUGUCUUUCAGCUUCAUCGUUUCCACCUUCAACGCAUCAUGUUCUUGCAUUAGACUUUCAAAUUUCUUUUGCUCUCCAGACAAACUCAAUUGUCUUUCAGUUUCUAAUGGCUUACGUAGAUGUGCUAUUUGAGUUCCUUGAAUUCUUCUCUUAAUUUUCUUUAGCCAACUCUUCUUCCCUUUUUGAAACCACGCAUUCUGGAAUUCCAAUCUAUCCCAAUUGAUCUUUAUGAACCCCUAAAAUCUCAUAACAGCACAAAUCAGUUAUGUCUCAAUCUUUUCUAAUGUCAAAAUUCUAGUUAUUCAUCCCAUGUCAGUAAAGGAAAAACAGAUUGACAAAGAAAGAACUAUUAUAUCAGAUCACGCGGCAAGAGCAAAGAGGAGAUUUUAGAAGAUAUGCAGAAUAUGAUAACUCACAUACAUCUAUACUAAUACUGGUAGGCAAGUUCAUUUGGUAUUCAAGUUUUCUUGCUUUGAUUUGCAACUUAUGUACUACAGUGCACAUAAGAAGAGUGAGAACUCUUAAUAUAACAGUAAAAAGUGCCACUUCAAAAGGAAACAAUUCGCAAAAGUCACAUACACUAGGCAAAACAUUAUUAAAAUAAUUAAAGAAGUCUACAUGAAGAUGGGAAAACAGGAGACAAAGCAAGUGGUAUGAUUGAAGGAUACUCACGUAUGUGUUGAGUUGGCAAAUGAAGCUCGAAAAGUUGUUGUGCCUGAAGUAUUUUCCAAGAACCUCAGCAGCAAACCUGUGAGGAUCCCACACAACGAAGCUGGUGCCACUGGAACUCCAGGAUAUAAUGGAAUCUGUCUCAGGGUUCUUCACUAUGUCAUAAACCUUGAGCAAGAAGGGAGGUGGGGCUCUCACCCGUGAGGAUGCACCAUUAGCAUAACCUUCUUUCGCAAGGGGAGUUGCAGAAAUUGCAGCAGCAGCUGUAACAAUAGCAUUGCUACUGCUUUCACUAACAUCAGCUCCCAUUGGUAUUGUUAGAUUCACUCUCUCUCCCUCGUUCUCACCGUUUUUCAGCUCAUAUUUGGUAGAGUUUGUUACCUCACCUGUCUCCUGGUUUGUUGCUUCCAUAAUUGGCAAGCAGAUUUCUUUGUUCUUUUGGGAAAAAAAAAUUACAAAUAUCUUUUGAUAAUAAAAACUGUAGCAACUUGGCAACUUGACAUUUGCUAAUGGUAGCCAACCCAAUUCUCCAGGAUGAACCUCUGAAACAAAGCUUUUGUUUUGAAUGCCAAACAUGCACUAGUUAUUAUAUCAUUUUCUCAUCCCCAAUUCUAUGUGAAAUGUUUUGAUGCAUCAGAAGACUGUAACUCACCUCAUAUUCCUUGUACACCACACAACCUUCACUUGUUACUCUAUCUUGGUAAAGAAGCAGUACUAUCUGUCCUUCAUAUUCCAUUUUUGAUCGUGAUAUUCCAAAUGUACAUGGAUAAUCAGUCUGCUAUUUGGUUGUGAAAGCUACACUUUGUUCAAUGAUUAUAUAUUAAAGCAGCUCUAUUUCUUCCGUGAUCUAAACCGCUGAAAAGUUCUAACUUUGAAUUUAUUACUUUAUUUGAAUUACGUUUCUAUUUCAAUUUGGCUAAUUCAUGCAUUUAUGUUUAUCUAUUUUAUUAAACUUUUACUAAAAUCGUUGGUAAGACUUGAUGCCUUGUAAGACCGUUGGUAAGUCCAGGUUAGGAUGUUCCAGGCAUAGUGCUCGGUUGUUCCAGUUUAAGUAAAAAUUUAAUUAAAUAUAAAACAUGGCUGCAUUUCUUAGACAGUUUAAAAUAGGAUCUAAUUCAAAGCAAGCUAAUAUAGUACAAAGUCAUGAAUAUCAUAUGCCUAUAAAUAAUUCAGAUUGGACUAUUCCAGAAGAAAAAAUAUAACAUAUUUAUAGAAUAGGCCCUUUAGAUUUCAAAACAGCUUUAUCAGUUAAAACACAUGAAGAAACAAUAUCUAUUCAAGAAGAAUAUCAAUCAAUACCAUUACUAAAUAAUAGUACAAUUCAAAAAUAUUUAAGUAAAGGAUAUCGAUAUAUUCAUAUAGGUUUAAUACAAAUUUCUGUAAAACCUUUAUUCCAUCUAGGAGUAGAUGCUCCAAUAUAUUUAGCAUUAAGAGAUACAAGACUCAAAAGAUAUAAAACUUCUUUACUCUCUAUGAUUCAAACAAAUGUUUGUAAUGGACCCAUAUAUUUUAACUGUGCUCCAAAUUUUUCAAUAGACUUAACAGACCCACAUAUUCUUAAUUCAGUAAUACUAGAUAUACAUUUACAAGGAAAUAAAUUUGAAAAACAUACAAAGAAUUUUGCAAUAAUAUAUAGAAUAUAUUAUAGACCUUUAUCUUCACAUCUAAAUCCAAAAUUUAUAAUGACUCCCACUCUUAAAGAAGAAACAACUUUAUUACAAGUAGACGCAGAUAGACCUACAACCUAUACUCCAAAAAGAUUAAAAUGGAAUGAGAUAACUAUACCUAGUGAAUUUGAAAUAAAAAAUCCACAAAUAGCAAGAAAUAUAGAACAAACUACUGCAGAAGAUAUUAUAGAAAAACCUGAUGGAAAUACUUUAAUAAGAUUUGCUUCAUUAAGAGAAAGACCUAGUUCAAGUUAUUCAUGGUUACCAGCUAGACAUUCAAAUUAUGAAUCUACUGAAAUUAAUUUUCCCUUAGAAAGUACCUCAAAUUUUAAAUAUAAAACUCCUAUUCCAGAAGUUAUAAAUCAGACUCAAUCAGAAUAUUCUCCAACCCAGUCACAAAUGAGAGGAGAAAUAAAUGUAAUAAAUAAACCAUAUAUAAUAAAUCAUAAAUAUUUGCAAGAAGAUUUUGAAGAUGAGGAAAAUACAGAAAAAAGAAUUUGGUUCUUUCAAUUAGAAUCUGAAUAUAAGAACAAAUUAAUUAUAGAAUGGAAAAAUGAAUUAGAUAAGAAAAAAUUUGAUUUUCCUUUCUUUACAUGGCUAACAUUUUAUAUGUCAAAAUUAGGAAUAAAUGAUAUAUAUAAUACAUCUCAAAUAAAUGUCCAAACUAAUUUAUAUAAAAAAUGGAAAUUAAAAGACGAACAAAUAAUAACAUCCAUACAUCCUCCAUUACAAGAAGUAAAAAUAAAUAUAGGACAAGGAGAAGUAAUUGUUUCACCUUUUAAAAAGGGAAGAGAAGCUGAAUCAAGUACAAAUAAUAAUUCAGUAAAUUUAGAAGAUAUUAAAAAAAUUUAUCAACAGAAUAAUUAUACAAAUCAAAUCUUACAUACAAUAUCUCAGCAUAUGGAAGUAUUAAAUACAAAAAUAGAUACAUUAAAGAAACCAGAUUUAAAAUUCCCCAAUGAUAUUUCAGCACCUCAUUUCCAACCUAGAAGUUUGACAAGAGAAAAGGAAAAAGAUUUAAUACAAAAUAUCAAUAAUCAGAAAAUAAAUAAUACAGACAAUUUAUUAAAUAAAAUAUCACAUGCAUUACAAAAUAUUAUGGAAAUAAAACCUUCAACACCCAAAAUAAAUACUUUAGACAAAAUUAUAAAAGAAAAUUCAACUGAAGAAUCCGAAAACUCAGAAGAAGAAUCAAUAAGUUCAGAUCUAGGAGAAAAUUUAGUAUUACCUAUAGAAAACCAAUUUGAAGAACAAGAUGAUCAAAUAAAUAGAAUAAGAAGAAAAAGAAUUUAUAACAAUAAUAACAAAGAUUGGAAAAUGGUAAGUUCAAAAAAUUAUUAUCCAAGACCAAGUCCUCCAGAUAUUCAAUAUGAAGAAAGAUCUAAAUUUCGUACCACAAAAUAUGAUGGAGAUUCAAUUUAUGAAUGGAAUAUAGAUGGCAAAGCUGAAUAUGAAGUGUUAAAUAACUUACAAGAAAUGGGAAUGGCCAGACUAGCUUAUAAAAUCAAAAAUAUUCAAGAAAGAAAUAUUGCAACAUUAUUAGUCUCAAGAUUCACUGGACAAUUAAAAAAUUGGUGGGAUAAUGCCUUAACAUUACAAGAUAAAUUAUCAAUAUUAGAACAUACCCAAGAAACUGAAGAUGAUCAAGGAAAUAUUCAGAUACAAUCAGAUGCUGCAGAAUUUUUAAUAGUAACAAUAGUAAUGUAUUUCAUAGGGAAUCCAAAAGAAGAAUUAAAUUGUAAUAAAACAUUUUUAACAAAUUUAAGAUGUCCUACAUUAUCAGACUUUAGAUGGUAUAAAGAUAUGUUUUUAACAAAUGUAUUACGAAGACCAGAUUGUAAUGCUUCAUUCUGGAAAGAAAGAUUCAUAACAGGAUUACCAAGUUUAUUUUCACAAAGAAUAAUGGAUAGUUUACAAAAAAAAAUGGGAACAGAUGUAAUUUCAUUUGAAAAUAUUACUUUUGGACAAUUAUUUGCAUUUGUCAAAAAAGAAGGAUUAAUGUUAUGUUCAGAAUUAAGAUUACAAAUAAAAUAUGGUUCUAAAACAAAAGAAGUAGGAUCAUUUUGUGAUGCAUUUGGAAUAAAAAGAAUAAAAUCACCAUCAGCAUACAAAAAGAAAAUUAAAAAAUAUACUAAGAAAAUAAAAUAUAAAAGACCUAAAGAAGAUAAAUCAGAAAGAAAGAGAAAAUUUAUUAAAAGAAAAAUAGUUUGUUACAAAUGUGGAAAAAUAGGACAUAAAGCAAACAAAUGUAGAUUAAGGGAAAAAAUUACAGAAAUCUGUGUUAAUGAAGAAGAAAUUAAAAAUAAAUUAAUAAACCUAUUAAUAAAUGAAAAAGAUCAAAGUUCUGAAGACGAUUAUUAUGAUGAUAUACCUAGUUCAGAAAGUGAAGAAAAUUGUAAUUGUAUUCCAAAAUAUAUAAAUGUUAUAACUAAAAAAGAAGAUAAAGAAUUCUUAUUAGACAUAAUAGAAAAAAUUGAAGAUCCAGUAGCUAAGAAAGAAUAUUUAGAAAGAUUAAAAAGUCUAAUUAUUCAAGAAGACAAAAUGCCAAAGAUAAUAGAACCUUUUAGUAUUUCAAAAUUAAUAGAUAAAUAUCCAAAUAUAAAUAUAAUGAAAAAAGAAACAACUAAAGAUCUUCAAACAGAAAUCAAUAAUCUUAAAAUACAGAUAAAACAAUUACAACAAGAGAUUAUAGAAUUAAAAACAAAAGAUUUAGAAAUAGAAGCAAAAAUAACCUUAAUAAAUAAUCAACCAUCAACUUCUAAUUCCAAAACAGAAGAAAUAUGUAUAUCUGAAAAACCAGUAGAUGAAGAUCAAUAUUUAAAUACAAUAGAAAAAAUGACAUUUCAAAAAUGGUAUGCUUUAGUAACCAUUACUGUAGAAGAUUUCAAAGAAACACAUGUAGCUCUAAUAGAUAGUGGAGCUGAUUCAAGUUGUAUUAAAGAAGGAAUAAUUCCUACUAAAUAUUGUGAAAGAACAAAUGAAACAUUGAUGGCAGCAAAUGAAGAAAAUUUACAAGUAAAAUAUAAAUUUACAAAAGGAUCAAUAUGUAAUAAUGAAUAUUGUAUAAGACAUAAUUUUAUAAUCGUAAAAAAUAUAAAUCAUGAUAUCAUAUUAGGAACACCUUUUUUAAUUCAAAUUUACCCAUUUGCAGUAAACCAUGAAGGAAUUUCAAUAAAUAUAAUGGGAAAAACUAUUAUUUUUAAAUUCUUAACUCCAAUAAGACAAAGAGAAUUACAGAUAUUACAAACAUCUUCUAUUUAUAAAACGAUAAAUAGUAUUACUAAAGUACAACAACAAAUAAAUUAUAUAAAAGAAGAAAAAUCUUAUUUAAGAAUUGAAGAACAAUUAAAAGAAGAAAGAAUACAAAAAAUAAUUUUAGAAAUAGAAAAAUUAUUACAAAAGGAAAUAUGUGCUGAUAUUCCUAAUGCUUUUUGGGAUAGAAAACAACAUAUGGUAGAAUUACCCUAUGAAGCAGGAUUUGAUGAAAAAAAUAUUCCAACUAAAGCUAGACCAAUACAAAUGAAUUUUGAAUUAUUAGAAUUUUGUAAAAAAGAAAUAAAAGCUUUAAUAGAUAAGAAAUUAAUAACCCCUUCAAAAUCACCAUGGAGUUGUGCUGCUUUUUAUGUAAUGAAUCAAGCUGAAAAAGAAAGAGGAGUUCCAAGACUAGUAAUAAAUUAUAAACCAUUAAAUAAAGUAUUGCAAUGGAUUAGGUAUCCAAUUCCCAAUAAAAAAGAUUUGCUCAAUAGAUUAUUUAAAGCAAAGAUAUUUUCAAAAUUUGAUUUAAAAUCAGGAUACUGGCAAAUACUAAUAAUACCAAAAGAUAGAUAUAAAACAGCAUUCACAACACCCUUUGGACAUUAUGAAUGGAAUGUAAUGCCAUUUGGAUUAAAAAAUGCACCAUCAGAAUUUCAAAAUAUAAUGAAUGACAUUUUUAAUCCUUAUAGUUCCUUCAGUAUUGUUUAUAUAGAUGAUGUGUUAAUAUUUUCUGAAUCAUUAGAACAACAUUUUAAACAUUUGAAUAUAUUUUUAAAAACAGUCAAGAAAAAUGGAUUAGUAGUUUCUGCCCCAAAAAUGAAAUUAUUUCAAACAAAAAUAAGAUUUUUAGGACAUGAUAUAUAUCAAGGAACAAUAAAACCAAUCAAUAGAGCUUUAGAAUUUACUACUAAAUUUCCAGAUGAAAUAAAAGAUAAAAAUCAAUUACAAAGAUUUUUAGGAUGCUUAAAUUAUAUAGCAGAUUUCUUUCCCAAAUUAAGACAAGAAUGCUCUAUAUUAUUUAAUAGAUUAAAAAAGAAUCCAAAACCAUGGACAGAUGAACAUACUCAAAAAAUAAAAUAUCUAAAAGAAAAAAUUAAAUCAUUACCAUGUUUAUGUUUACCACAUCCUAAAGCAUUCAUGAUAGUUGAAACAGAUGCAUCAGAAUUAGGAUAUGGGGGGAUAUUAAAACAAAAAUUAGAAGAGUCAAAAGAAGAAUUAGUUAGAUUCCAUUCAGGAACAUGGUCAGAUCCUCAAAAGAAUUAUUCAACAAUUAAAAAAGAAAUUUUAUCAAUAGUCUUAUGUAUAUCAAAAUUUCAGGAUGAUUUAUACAAUAAGAAAUUUUUAAUCAGAAUAGAUUGUAAAUCUGCAAAAGAGAUUUUACAAAAAGAUGUUCAAAAUAUAGUUUCAAAACAAAUAUUUGCUAGAUGGCAAGCUAUUUUAUCUGUUUUUUAUUUUGAAAUAGAAUUCAUCAAAGGAGAAAAUAAUUCAUUACCAGAUUUUCUUACUAGAGAAUUUUUACAAGGACAUGGAUCAAGAAAUGAGGAAGCAAAGAACAGAUCGAGAAUAUACCAAUUAUUUGAGAGCUCAGAGAGAUUCUCCCAAACUUCAAAACAAAGAAAAGGCUAUCCAAUCCCGAGGAUAUCAAUAUUUUGUUCAAACUAGCCAGGGUAGGCAAAGUAUUCCAGCCUAUCAAAUUCCCAAACAUGAUACCAUAUACAUCCAAAAAAGCCCUUAUGCUACAAUUACCUCACAAGAAAGAGCUUUUCUUAUUCAAAGAGAGAUUCAGCGAAAUACUAUCCGCAUUCAAGUCCUGAGAAGAGUUGAAAGAAAUGAAGAAUUUAUUCAGUACUACAAAGAACAAAAUAAGCAAUUAUCUGACCAGCUUAAAGAUAUUGUUUAUUAAUAUUGCAGGAAUAUGGAUUCAAAAGCAGGGAAUUCCAGUCCAAAGACUCCUCAAGAUUAUGAGAUGAGUCUAACUCCUGUAACCCAAAAUAGAUUUCAAAUAUUACAGGACUUCCCAGCACUGACAUAUAGUCAAGCUGCCUGUACUCCUACUCCUUCUCAAAUAAAACCUUUACAACAAAUUCCAAAACCUUCAGAAAAAUCCAAUGAAAAUACCUAUUUUACCAAGCCAUUUACUCAACAUAUUACUCUAACCAGAUUUCAAGAAAUACCUCUAUACUCUACACUCAAUCAAAUUACCCAAAGAAUCUUUCCUCAGAAAUAUUUUUGGCAACCAGAUGAUCCCUCAAAAAAUUUGGAUUACUACGAAUUAAUUCUUACAGAUACUCAAUCUAUAGAAAUAUUUCCUAUUCCAGAUAGAAAAAAUCCAAAUAUAGUCAGCCAUUCAAAAUGUAUAAUAAAGAAAGUUUGUUCUCCCAAUGAAUGGACUUCUCUUUAUUCUAAAAAAUCCUUUUCAGUAAGAUUCAUUCCAGAUGGAUUUACAUAUCAAGAUUACAAAAUGGCAUGGUAUCGUGCUUUCCUUUUUAGACCAUUCAAUCAUUCCUGGUUCUUCAUAUUUAAAGAAAGUUGCAGUAGAGAAUUUCCAAUUUGGUUCAAUCAUUGGUGGAAAUGGUUUGGACCUCAACCAGAAAUUCUACCUCCAAACGUGCUCAUGGGAUUUCAGACAUACCUAAAAAGAGCAAAGGGGGAAGAAUAUACAAGACCAAUUUUAUUUCAUAUGGAGUUCAAAGUUCCAUGGAUCUUUUGCUGGAGUUUCAAAAUUCAUCAAGAGUUAGAAAAAUCACUUCCAAUGUCAUUGGUCAGAGAAUUCAAAAUUAAAUGGUGGACAGGAUUCAAUCAAGAAUUUGGAGAUCAAGUUAACGUCAUCAGAUUUCUAACCACAGGAGACAAACUCAAAUGGACAAAACAGCUACCUACUCCAACUACUACAAUACCUACUACAACAACUUCUCCACCAACUCCAACCACUAUGACACCAACUCCAACCACUACUCCAAUAAAGAAAGAAAAAGAUACCGAGAUGGUAUCCGAGGCAAGUUCAAAUGACUUUCUGAUGAAAAAGAUGAUUCAAGAUCCAAGACUACUCAAAGAAUAUUUGGACUAUUUGCAAAAGCAGGAUAAGAAAGAAGAAACCAACAAAAUUGACGAGUCAGCAGAAUCAUCCGAAUCUACUUUCGAUCCUUUCGGAGGACCAUGCGGACAAGAUCCAAAUGACUUUUGAAAAAGAUGUCGGCCACAAAUAAAGUGUCGACCCAAAAGACAAAUGAAAUUCAAAUGAAGAUGAAAUGAGAACUCCCGAGCCUCUAUAAAUAGAAUCAAAAUUCAGAAGAAAGGCAUCAGCGAAAUCAUCGACCAUAGAUCAGUUAAAAUCUCCCUACUUUGUAAUCAUCCUUUUCAAGUUCAACCACUCCUUUGUAUUCAAUCAUCUCUACUUUUUAUAUUCAAUAAAGAAGAUUCAAGGUUUUGCAUCUAUCAAGCUUCCGUUGUCUACUCUCACUCAAUAUUCUUGUAAGUCCAUUUAUAUUAAAACUAUUACUUUUCUAUGCAAUCAAUAAUAGAAAGCAGCCACUAACAUCAGCUCCCAUUGGUAUUGUUGGAUUCACUCUCUCUCCCUCGUUCUCACCGUUUUUCAGCUCAUAUUUGGUAGAGUUUGUUACCUCACCUGUCUCCUGGUUUGUUGCUUCCAUAAUUGGCAAGCAGAUUUCUUUGUUCUUUUGGGAAAAAAAAAUUACAAAUAUCUUUUGAUAAUAAAAACUGUAGCAACUUGGAAACUUGACAUUUGCUAAUGGUAGCCAACCCAAUUCUCCAGGAUGAACCUCUGAAACAAAGCUUUUGUUUUGAAUGCCAAACAUGCACUAGUUAUUAUAUCAUUUUCUCAUCCCCAAUUCUAUGUGAAAUGUUUUGAUGCAUCAGAAGACUGUAACUCACCUCAUAUUCCUUGUACACCACACAACCUUCACUUGUUACUCUAUCUUGGUAAAGAAGCAGUACUAUCUGUCCUUCAUAUUCUGUUUUUGAUCGUGAUAUUCCAAAUGUACAUGGAUAAUCAGUCUGCUAUUUGGUUGUGAAAGCUACACUUUGUUCAAUGAUUAUAUAUUAAAGCAGCUCUAUUUCUUCCGUGAUCUAAACCGCUGAAAAGUUCUAAAAUAGGUACACAGAAUUUUGCUUUUUUUAUAAUUAUUUAUUUAUGAAGUAUUAUUAUUAUUAUUAUUAUUCUUUUUCUUUUAGUGGGGAUGGGGGGAGGGGUGAUAGAUUGUAUAUUUAUUUAGUGCUAUUGCGUGUAACCCAAGAGGACAAUAUGAUUAACCGAAUUGAAUUGAACAUUUCUGUUGGUGAACUUAAUGCUUAAUAGCCGCAGUAUCCCAUUCUUUAACAAUAGAUACUAAUACCUUGCGGGGGAGAAAUGUUUCUAGAGUAGAUGACAUUCCCAUCCAAUUGUUGCAAUUUCAACAAAUUUAUAGACGAACGGAUGUCUUGACUUUUAACAACCUUCACCUUCACGAAACUGAGGCUAACUUACGAGAGAUGACUCGUUCAAUUUUGCCCCAGUCCAUAAUCGCAGCCUUCUCUUAUCUUUAUUGUUUAUGGUCAUUUGAAUUCUCCUGCAUAGGCAGGUAAUCUCAACAUGUAUCUACAAGUCUCUUAAAAGUAAAAAAAAAAAAAAAAGAGAGAGAGGACCCGGACUUGGAAAAGCAACGCAUCAUGUACGCAUCGAGUACAAUAAGCAAGCAAAAGCAUGAAACCAAUUAAACAGAAACAAGAACGCCGCUUAGUCAAUAUAUCUCUUGGUAAAAACACCUGCUUUGUUGCCUUUUGGUUCCUCCGCUGCUUUUGUAACAAACCAAGGAGAUUAUGUACCCCUAUAAACCAACAUUUAGAUUUAAUACCACUAAACUAGCUGCAAAAUUGUGAUCUCUAAUGCCUUUGUUCCAAAACAAUUGACACCAAGUUGCUCAAGACAAUUGGGAGAAAAUUUUGAGAUAGAUUAAUAGCAAAAUUUCCGGGUUGGGGCAACAAAAUCCCUUGUGAAAAUAUGAAGAUGUUCUAAAGAAACAUGUUGCUUUUGCAAAUUGAUACAUAUUUUGCAUCCCUAUAUAUAGACAUGUCAAUAGACAAGGUUUGAGUUGCAUCCCUUUGAUCCAGUUCUAAACCAAUUAAAUUUUGUUAGGUCCAGACCCAAAUCCAAACCCUUAUUGGUUUGAAAAAGUAAAUCUAGACCUGGAUCCUCAUAGGUUUUGGUAUUCGUGGAUAUUUUUCUGAACAUACACUGAAGAACUAAAGUAAAAAUAUUUUGAAAAUAUAUAGAGUUAAAAAAUAACAUAAAUGUCAUCCAAUUUUUAUUUUCAAAAAAUAAAAUUAGCAUUCAAGAUGUUGAAUUUAAUAUUAUAAACUCAAAGAAAGAACUAUUAUCAACUAAAACUAUUUAUUUUCAAAGAUUCAUCUACAUCUACAUUCAAUCUUUCAUUUACUUGUUUUUAUUUUUUCUCUUUUUCUUGAAAACAUUUGUAUUAGUAACUAUGACAUACAAUAUUAGGUUAAUUUAUAAAUUUACUUUAUAUAUAUUUUUUAUAAGUGGGUCUGGGUAGUGUCUUGUUUGGAUUUGGAUUUGGAUUUGUGUUUGGAUCAUCCAAAACCAAACCCUACCCAAAUCCAUGACUCUCUUACAGGGAUUGGGUUUAGGUAGGAUCUAGAAUUGAUGAAUUAAAUUCAAACUCUUUCCAAAUAUAUUAGGUUUGAAUUGAAUUUGGAUAAAAUCCAACCCAUUGACAUGCCUACCUAUAUAUGUUACUACAUAAGCCCUGGUUGGGGCAAUAUCAUUUAGCAGAUAGAAAUUGAAAUUCAAUGCAAUCAAUGUUGGGACUAAAAACUUUUGGCAAUACUAUUUAGUAAUUAAAAUGUGAAAUACAAUGAUAAUCAAUUUUAAGACUAGAUUGUCUUGGCAAGAUUUGUAUGUAAGUAAUUACAGCGUCAAACUAGUCAAUCAAUAACUCUUGUAUUUAUGUAAGUACGUUGGGCAUUAAAUAUAAAUUACGUUCUUAUUUACUAAUAUACCCAUGCAUGCAUCACUUUCAUUUUCUUUCUUAAAGACGGACACUAUGAUUGAAGCCCAAGAAUGGUUUGUUAUGGUCGAUGUAUUUAGGGAAAAAAGUCUCAGUAGCCCUCCAACUUUUAAUCGGAUGAACUUUUGACCCUCUAACAAUUAAAAGUAAACUUUUGGCCUUUGGUCUAUCAAAACGUAGAGCUGUAAACGAGUUGAAUCGAACCGAGUAUCUCAUGUUUGAGCUCUGUUAAUUAAGCAAUUCGAACAACGUUUGUGUUCGUUCGUUAAUUUUCGAACUCCAAACAUGUGUUCGUGUUCGACUCGUUAAGCAAAGUUCGUGUUCGAGUUCGAGUUCGUGUUCGGCUCAUUUAAUAUAAACGAGUUGUUCGCGAACAUGCUCGAAAUGCUCGAAUCCAAAUUAUUUUAAGCCUUAAAUAUGCCAUGCAAAUCAUUAAUCAUUCUAAAAAAUAAUUAAAACACUAAGUGACUAAAUUCUAUUAUUCAUUAACUAUAUAACUAACAUUAACGUAAAAACAACAAAUAAAACAAAGCAAUUUGUCCUCCAAAUAUAAAAUCCAACCAUAAAAUUAACCCUAAAAUUUGUCAAAUGAUAAUUAUGUCCAUGUUCGCGAACGUUCAUUAAAACUUGCGAACAUGCUCGUGUUCGCUCGAUUAUUAAUCGAACCAAAAAGUUCAUUCCAACUCGAUUUGUUUAAGGUUUCGAACGAGUCUUUCACGAACACGAACGAAUCGAAAUAAACUGAACUACCGAACAGCUCGGUUCGUUUAACAGCUCUAAUCAAAAGUGUAAAUUAUUGGUCUUUCUAUCAAGUUCAACAGUUAUGAGUGAUGGAAACCAUUAUUACGUGUGAUGCAUGAGGAAAUAUGAAGGGCAUUUUAGUCCACCCUAAAAGCUAGAAACCAACACGCCACUUUGCAGAUCAGUUAGACUCAUGAAUAUCAUCUACUCUGCCAAUAUUUUUAAUCAAUAGGGACAGAUGGGAAAUCGAAAUCUCUUUUUAUACAUGACCUCUUUAGGUUUCCCUCCCUCUAGAUUAGGAUAGAUUAGGUUGUAGAUACGUUAUCGUUGCCAUAAAAAAAAGAUGGGAAAUUGAGUCAAAUGAAAGCUGCUUCAAUCUCACCAAGCCCAUUUAAAUUGGCUUUUGCCAAAACAAGAAGUUGUGAUGGUUCAGGAAGCUUUAAGGAUUUCAAGAUGUUAGAGAUUGAUGGAUGAUGACUCCAUCAAAGGAGAAUCAAUGCCCUAGAUUGAUAUACAAGCAAUCAUGAGUACCAGCAGAAAUGAAAUAGACUGAAAUUUUAUGAAGAACCAAGGUCUUGCUUUCAUCAUAUCAUUGUCAAUUCCAUUAGACAUACAACAACUAUUAGGUGAGCUGACGGAUUUCGCUUCAUCUAUUCCUUAUGCAAUUCCUUCACACGUGUCUUGGCUAAUGGUUUCAUUAAAGGUUUUUGGUUCCUCUUUUUCUUCAAUAAUCCCUUUGAAUGAUUCCUCUAUAAUGGGUUCACUAAUGGUUGGCACCGGAACUUUUUUGCCAAAAAAUUAUAGUGAAGAAGAAAAACCAGAAAAAUGAAGAUAUUUUGAAUAGGGAGAAAAAGGAAAAAUGGGGGCCUAGUACUAAGUCAUAUCAGUAACAAUUAGUUACAGAUCUAAAACUACCUUGUCUUUCCAUGUGUGGAUGACGUCUAAGAAAUAGAGGUUUAAAAUUUCCCAAAAAAAUAAAAAGGAAAUAAAGAAAGUCAACUGGUAAUUAAGGAAGCAUUGUUCUGGAGUGGGGCUAGAGGUGGAUCUCCGGUGGUAGUGGCAAGAGCGCAUCUGUUGAGAUUGGUGGCGACAGCAACAAAGAUCUAUUGAGUGGGCAAGUAACCUAACUGAAAUCGACCAUUUAUCUAGGCAAUCUCAGUGGAAUACAUGAGUGCACCUGGAAAGCUACCUCACCUUGAGUUUCAAAUCUAUGUGGUCUAGGCAAAUGGUGCACAUCUUCUAUGGAUGACAAUCAUCUUCUUAGUUCGACGAUGGUGGUGAUGAUUCCGCUUCUUCUUCUCGUUCUCCUCGUUGGAAUUUUCGGUAGAAUCUCAUGGGCAAACGAGAAUGCCCCUGCUAAUUCGUCGUGCAUCACAUGUGAGGUUGUUUUCUGUCAUUCUUAACCGAUGGAAUUGAUGGAAUGACCAAUAUUUUGCACUUCUGAUAGAUCGGGGAUCAAAAGUUUACUUCUAAUUGUUGGAGGACUAAAAGUUCAAGGACCACUGAGACUUAUUUUCCAUGUAUUUAUUCAUUUACAAAAAAUCUUUAUUAACACAUCCAUGCAAUCAUGUAACAUUGUAGACUAGUUAUGCAUGCUGGUACACAAAAAUAUGCAUAUAAAGUAGAUAAGUAUGGUAUUUAUGACGAAUAAUCAUCAUAUUGCAAGAAAUCAAGCAAAUAUACACAAUCUAAAAUUUUUGGUUCCUUCAAAUAAAUUUACUUUGUUUAAAUUCUACAUGAUUAGAAGUAGUUAAGAAGAUUACAUUUAAAGGCCGGAGAUCUUCUUAAUUUGCAACAGAUGAUUUGUGAAGUACAAGCUAUCUACUUAAAAUUAUCCAUGAAUCCAACUUCUAAUAGUCAUCCAUACAAGCCUCUGUGUAAGAAACUUCUCUGGCUAGAUUUGCUUAAACUAGUGAAGUGUUAACCUUGUACCAAGUUCUCACCAUGCACAAGUUGAUAGAAGAAUAGAAGAAGAAGACCCUAAUUUGUGAGAACCUAUAUAGUUUUACCAAAUAGAAUAGAGAGAGAGAGAGAGAGAGAGAGAGAGAGAGAGAGGAUUUUUGCUCUCUUUCUUAGGCCGAAUUUUCUCCACUUUCUCUCUCUAGGUUUUUACUAAAAUCUCACAUAAUUUGAAUUGGUACUAUGUCUUUCAAGAUUAAAUUAUGAGUAUGAGAUUAUAUAUAAACAAAUUAGGUGUUCCAGUUCCUGUAGAAAAUGCCUAUCAAUUUUGAAAAGAAUUUAGUUUCUAUUUUCUAAUACUACUCUUGUUUUAGAAGAAUUACUCUCAUUUACAUAAUAAAUUUUUUAGGUUUAAUUUGUUUCACAAAUUAAAUUAUAAAUUUUAAAAACUUAUCGUUCAAGCCUCUACAUGAAUAUCUUUUAAUCUUGCAUAUGAAACUUUUAAUGUGUAUAACCCAAUAACUUCUCUACAAUGUUCAAGCCUUUAUAAUUUUUUAUCUCUCAGUUUUAAAAUGGUACAUUUUUUGAAAAAUGGAAUAAUUUGAUUCUUUACAUAUGUGAAAUGCACCAUUUUCAUCCCCAUUCUAUUUUAGUUAUAUUUGCAUCUACAAUUCUAAUUUUGAUCUAUAUUGAACCUAAGUUAAAAAAAAAAAUAUUAUGGAGAUACCUAAAUUUGUUCUACAAAUUCUAGAUUAUUAUUUUAAGAAUUGAAAGUUCUUAAGAUCAAGUGUAAACUAGGGAUAAUUUCAAAAAGCUCCCCUUAGGUUUAUGACUAUUUCACUGGCUACCCUUCAGGUUUUAAAAACUACACUAACCUCCCUUGAAGUUUAUUGUCUUAUAAUAUCUAGGUCUAACCAAUAAUUAAAAAAUGAUAUUAGGAGAGAGAAGAUGAUAUGAUUCCACCAUUGCCCCUCAUCUACUAAAUUGUUUAAUUAAUCUAAUAUCAACCCAAACAUUAAAGAAAACACUAAAAUUUGUUGUUUAUCAUCAAGGAAUAAAUGACAUAUGGAAACAAAAAUAGUAUAUCAUUCUAUAUAUUUCACUUAAUGUAAAAUCUAAAUUACUCUUUUCAAUUACAAACCCAUUGUCAAACAUGAUUAACAACAAAUAAUCAAAAAAAUUUGUAACCAAAAUAUUACAAAGAGCGAUUAAUAACAUAAAAUCUCAAUAACUAACCUUAAUAUGCUGACAAGAAUAGUUAUGAUGUUAAAGUUUGUUCUGUGUAAUAUUUGGUUGCAAAUUUUUUAAUUAUUUGUUGUUGAUCAUGUUUAACAAUGACAUAUAACUGAAGGAAGUAAUUUGGUUCUUGUAUCAAGUGAAAAUUAUAAAUUGAUAUACUAUUUUUUAAUAUUAUACAUGAUUUGAUCCCUAAUGCUGAACAACAAAUUUUAGUGUUUUUCUUUAAUGUGUGGGUUGAUAUUAAAUUAAUUAAAUAAUGUAGUAGAUGAGAGCAAUGAUGAAAUCAUAUUAUUUUCUCUCUCCUAAUAGUACUUUUAAAAUAUUGAAUGGAGUUAAAUGUUACAAGAUAAUUAAUCUCAAGGAAGGUUAGUGUAAUUUUUGAAACCUAGAGAGAGGCUAGUGAAAUAGUUAGAAACUAAUUUCAGCGGUGGUUUCUGAAAUAAUCCCUUUAAACUAAGCAAAGGUAAAAUAUUUAAUUUAGUAUUUAAAAUUUAUUUGAGGUGUUUUCAAGGCACAACAAGAAAAUUUCUUCACAAUAACAAAUUUUGAGUGAUUUUCAAGAGUUUUCUAACCUAUUUUCUUUUGUUUUUAAAUAUUUUGAAGUUUUUGUCUAAAUGUUGCACAUAAACUAAGGCAAUUCCUACUGCAAUUAGCUUCAAAUGGUAAUAGUGCUAGUUUUUGUGAUUUUUUUCAUGAUUUUACACAUACAAUAACAAUAUUUUGGCAUAUUGGUUUUUGUUAUUUCAAGUGAAAAUUUUAUCAAAAUUGAUUUUUGGGGAUGAAAAUGGUAUAUUUUUGUGUAUGUAAGGGGGAGGGACUAAGGUCGUCAUUUUAAAAGUGAGGCAUUAAAAAUGUACAAAUUAAAAUAUAAGAGAUACAUUCCUGUUGCUUUAAAAGUAAGGAAUUAAAAAGUACAAGUUCAAAUGUGAGGGCUAUAUCUGCUGUUUUCCUAUAGUAAAGUGGAAGAAUCUUCCUUACAGUCGAAUGUAAAGUUAAGAUUUGACACUUGUUAAGCAGUGCAGCAGUAUGGGUAGUAGGAUAGGAACAGUUGUCAUUACAACUGUUCACGAAUAAUAUAACACACUUUGAACAACUUGUAAGUCUACGUGAACUACUUGUAAAAUUUUGUAAAAGACAUGCAAUUAUUAUGUAUGGUACUCACACGAACGAAUCGUAACAAAAUAUUAUAUCAUAAUUAUAUUGUAAGAUUAUGCAAAUAAUUAAAAAGGAGUUACAACUUAUUUAGACAGUGUUACACUGUUCAUCAAGAAUGAGUGUCCUAGUCUAGGUGUCUGAUAAUGAUGAUUGAUAUUCAAGUAAACGUUGCUGUCCUGUUAGUUAUCCUGUAAUGCCUCCUUGCCUAUUGCGUAUUUGGUUUUAGCUGUUCUAGUGGUGAGGUGCACAAUGCAUGCCUUUUGGACAGAAAUUUUCCUACUUGUCAUGUAUAUUUGACUAAUAACCCUUCUACAAAGUGGGGUACAUAAAGUUUGGAUUGUAUUUUUUAGAAGUAAACUCUUAACACUUUCUUAAGAUGUGAUGGAUAUAAUAUAAAAAGAUAGUUAAAAAUUGUGUUUAAGAAAUAUUUUCAAAAAACUCAAAAAAAUUAUAAAAAGAGCAACAAUCCAAUUUUUUUUUUGAAAUGUUUCUAAGCAAAGGUGCAUUGUCUUAAAAAAAUUCAACUCAGUAUUGAUAGCAACUGCAAUUGGAUAAUUGGAUGAUGAUAACUUUUCUAAUUCUACUCUCAAGUCCUCUUUGUCCCUUUCUCUUUACAAGAUUUAGAAUCUCCUUAAACUUUAACACUCUAAAGAAGAACAUAAAAAUUAAGUACAUGGAAUUAUUGAAUUCCAUAAAUUCAAGAGUAUUGAGUUGACAUAUUUGGAUGAAAGGAUGUAAACUUAGAUUCACUUAUUUCUUUCUCAAAAUAUUGAUUGAGCAAUAAAUAGUCGCGGAUUAGAUUGUUGAUCAAUUGAAUAGCCAAGAGUUCGAUCGGGUAGAGGGCAAACUUUUUUUGGGUUAAUUACACCAAAACUCUAACCUAUUGAAAGAAUUUUCUUUGAAUGUAUAAUAAGAAUUCUUAAAUUCGUCUACUUGGUUCUUCAGAUGUCCCAUGUCUACUUAUUUCUUGAAUCAGCAAGGCCUCAAUUUGGUGCAAUGUCUAAUCAGAGAAAAUGGAAAACCCCAUUUAAUGCUAUAAAUACUAGAUAGAGAAAUUUGAAACGGAGUAUUUGCCCAAAAUAGUUUUGAUACUUGAAAGUAAAUCAACAAUUCCUCGUGAAAAACCUAAGACCUAAUUUAGUCAAUAUGACAACAUUGAUAUCCGUGUUUCAACUCUCAAACUCUCCCCUUUCUCUCUUUCUUGUAAAACUUGAAGUCUCAUCUCUCUAGUUGGCAGGGCUACAAAUGAGACUAAUUAAGCCAAACACCAUAGUGUUUAAACAUACUUGAUUAUUUUAAUAAAUUUAAAAUUUUGUUCAAAUUUGACUUAUUUAUUUGUUGAACUGAAUUUGACCGAACUUUUUAUCGAAUUUGAAUGCUAUUAAAUGUAUAAUGCUUUUCAAAUUUAACUUGACUAAUUAGCAAACCAAUUUUGAACGAACUCUUACCAAAUCAAAAUCGGUUCGAGUAUCGAAUGGAUUGGUUUAUUUUCAAUCCUACUAGUUAGAUAUUUCUUUGUCUAAUUGAUAAUACUAGACUGGUCAGAGACCAAUUACUAGACUUGCACUUGCUAGUCCAGUCUAGUAGGUAGUUUGGAUCGACAUAAAUUUCUUGUGAUUACAAGGUAUCUCCCUUCAAGCCAGAAAAAUAACAUAAAUAAACACCACUAUGUGAUAAUUUCAAUAAAUUUCAACAUAAAGUUAAAUUUGACCAAAGAAAUAUAAAUCCGACGGGGGAUGAAGAAACCUAAUUGAAUACACCACACCAAUCAUUUAAUAUCCCAUUACUUUAAUCUUAAAAAUUGAUAAAAAAAAAAUUAGCAUAAAGUUAAAUUUGACCAAAGAAACAUAAAUCUAGCGGAGGACGAAGAUACCUAAUUGAAUACAUCGAACAUUUUAUAUCCCAUUACUUUAAUCUUAAAAAUAAAAAAAGGGAAAAAAUUAGUUUGAAAGCACAAACACAAUAAAUAAAUAAGGAUCUGUACUGGACAUUUUUUAAGAUAUAUAUAUUUCAAAUGUCAUUUUUUUAAAAUGUUCCCCAGAGGAUGUGGUAUAUUUUGAGCCAUCACUUAGCACAUAGGCCCUUGGGACCCAGUAGUUGCAGGCUCAGACACGUUACUUGCUUAUUUGCAUAAUUAGUAAUUAAUAUUGCCUAGUUGGAUAAUUACAGGUUGUUUUCAUUAUUUUCCUUUUUUCUUUCUGUUAAAGAAUUAUGACAGGUUCAACGCUUCGAACCAACUCUUGGGCCUCACGCAACCUUCCCCAACUUGCUCCCCAAGAAAAACUGAAUCGGCAUUCUUUUGAGCUUUUAUUAUUAAAGAAACAUUUCUUGCUCUCCUAGAAACUUCGGAAUAUUCCUAAAUUCUCCCCAGCUUAUCUUUUUUGAAUAUUCUAGUCAAAUUAAGUUACGGAUUAAGAUGAUAACAAAAAAAGCCCACCUUCUAUGUUUAAGAUAUUUACUCUUUCUUUGGUCCAAAUUCCAAAUGCAUUAAAAAAAAAGGUCCAUGAUAUUGAUUUGAUUAACUUUGCAUUUCAACUAGGUUAUAUUCUCACGCAAAUAUAUUUUUUUGUUCAAAUUCAAAGUAGAAACUUUUUAAUGAGUGCCCCAAUUCAUGUCAACUCAUUAAUACACCCUAAUUUCCGUAUAAUUUAUCAUUUGAUUAUAAACACUCGUACAUAAGCUUUUCCAAAUCUAGUUUUAUAUUUUCAAAAAAAUUCAACACGAGAGGACUCUCAAGUGUCCAAUGUACAUUGUUAGACAACAUUAGAUACACGGAGAGUUUCACGAGAUUUCUUUUUUUAUUAUUAUUAUUUUAUUAUUUUCUUCUCUUUUCUCCUUUUUAGGGGACAGAUUUUACUAGUAUCCAAAGUCAAAAUUGAUCUCAUAUUAUGAUACAUUUCUAGAGAGAAGUUUUAGAAGUUUUGGUCAUCAUAAAUUAAAAGACCAUUUUGACCUUUACCAAACCCUCUUUGUGAUGAUAUACAUAUGUUAAUCCUCAAAACCUUCUAGGCAAUUUAGUCCUUUGUUGCAUCUCUAGACUAUAGUCAAAGAGGGUAGACAAUUAAAUAUAUGGUCAUUUUCCACAGACAAAAAGGAGAAAAAGAAAACAAUAAUAGCAACAAAAUAAUAAUACCAUUUUCCACCGCCAUACAAAUUACCAUAAACCAACUCAUGCACGUGACCCAUAAAACCAUACUAUAAAAUCCCCCUUCAUCACACAAGGGGGGAAAAAACAAGAAAAUUCUGCGCCUCAAAAAUUUCUUUCCAAAGAUCUCGUAAACCUUAAAAACAUCAAGAAAUCUUGUUCUUCUUUCUCUCUUGAAAGAAAGAUGAUGAGCCGUGGUGCAACAAGGGUUGCCCGGUCGGUGAUCGGCCACAUGGGGCCGCGUUAUUUUUCCGGUGCAGCCAUGGGUCCGCACGACACCAGCUUGGGGAAACUUUUUGCAUGUGGAGCCACGGGUUUCUUGCAUGGCAAUCCAGCUAAGCCGUCGGAGAACGUGAUGGUGGCGUGGUUUGGGUAUGGAGGAAUUGGUUCACGCCAGGCGAGCACGUUGGCUUUGGGUGAUAAGAAGGUGGAGGAUGAGGAGGAGGUGAAGGCGGUGAAAAGUGGUGCAGCUGGUGGUGCCACGGCCGCGGCGGGUGACGGUGGAAAUGGGAAUAAGGAGGUUGUGAGUUAUUGGGGUGUUGAGCCGCCUAAAGUUACCAAAGAAGAUGGUUCUGAGUGGAGCUGGAAUUGCUUUAGGGUAUGUAUGAGCCAAAAAAAAAAUGUUAACAAGGGAUGAAUUUGACUUUUUUUUUAUAUUUUUGUUCUUUGGGUUUUUUAUGUUGGAUUUAUUUUGAUUUUUGAUUGAAAAUAAUAUUUGUAUGAAGCCCUGGGAGACCUACAAGGCAGACCUGACAAUAGAUCUGGAGAAAAAACAUGUGCCAGUGACAUUCUUGGACAAGUUUGCACUUUGGACCGUCAAGACCCUUAGGUGGCCCACCGAUUUAUUCUUUCAGGUAUUUUCUGAUAAAUUUUUGAAUUUUUUUAGCUUGAUUUUCUUAUUUUUCUCUUAACUGUUCCAAGAAAUUUGUAAAUCUCAAUUGCUAAUCUAGAUCUAAUUCCCUUAUUGAACUAAGAGAAAAAAAAGAUUAGAAGAAAAAGGAAAUAUAUUUCGUUAUUCUCAUAUAUUUUUCUAAGGGACAUUUUGUAUAUCUUUCACAACGUAGAAAAAAAUGAAGAAAUACAUAAAGAGUGUGUGUGUGUCAUAAAGUGUCAUAAUUGUUGGGCGAUUGGAUCUUCAAAAACCAGAAUUUUGAAUUGAUGGCAUGUUAAUCAGUUGCAAUUGUCCAAGUCAAAUGGCAUACAAUUGAUAGUUCAGAGUUGCAGUGGUAACAAUUACGUGCAAAUUGCUUGAUUGUUUCUUGAUGGUCUACCAUAAAACAAACAAAGAAAUUGAAAAGGAUAAAAGGGAAAAAAAAGGAAAAAAAAAAGGAUCAAGACAUUAGGCAGUAGGGACCUGCAAUAAUCUCAGAGUUGGACCUAACUUGUUGCAAAUUGAAACAGAGGAGGUAUGGAUGUCGAGCAAUGAUGUUGGAAACUGUGGCAGCAGUCCCCGGCAUGGUUGGAGGGAUGCUGCUUCACUGCAAGUCAUUGAGGCGAUUUGAACAUAGUGGAGGCUGGAUCAAGGCUUUACUUGAAGAAGCCGAGAAUGAAAGGAUGCACCUCAUGACCUUCAUGGAGGUUUCAAAACCAAGAUGGUACGAACGUGCACUCGUUUUCGCGGUCCAGGGAGUUUUCUUCAACGCAUACUUUUUAACAUACAUUCUCUCACCCAAAUUGGCUCAUCGCAUCGUGGGGUACUUGGAAGAGGAAGCAAUUCAUUCCUAUACUGAAUUCCUCAAGGAAUUGGAUAAGGGCACCAUUGAAAAUGUUCCUGCUCCUGCUAUUGCUAUUGAUUACUGGCGCAUGCCUCCUGAUUCGACUUUGCGCGAUGUUGUUAUGGUUGUCAGGGCUGAUGAGGCUCAUCACCGCGAUGUUAACCACUUUGCAUCGGUAAGGGCACUCAGAAUUGUGUUAUUUCAUGAUCCGUUAUAGUCAUGCUCGUCAGAUUUUGUUGCCUGCAGGGCAGUGUUAGGCCUUUUCUUGAUGCUUGAUUUUGGAUUGGAUUUUGACGCAGGACAUUCAUUAUCAAGGACAUGAGCUGAGGAAGGCUCCAGCACCACUUGGUUAUCACUGAAGGAAGCGCAGGUCUGGUGAUGAUACACAAGCAGAUGGUGUUUAUCUUCUGGCAUAAAAGGCUGAGAAAUAAUGAUAUUAUACUGAACUACAAUCCUGACUUAGUUUUCUAGAUGUAUAUAUUACAAUACAGCACGAGCCAGAGUCUGAGUUGUUUGAUAACUUCUUUUCCCGGUUGGAUUUAAGAUUUUUGGGCAGUAAAGUUGUUAUAAAAAGUAUACUAUUGUGGUUUUGCUAUUAUUUUCAGUUUUAUGCAUCUUUGGAGUUGUAUUUUACUAUUAGAUGCUAAUAUGGUCUUCCAUUGUUCUUCUUGUCUCCAAAUGGCAGGGUGAUGCCCUGCUUACAAUUUCAAAAUGUUUGGAAAACUACAGAGGCUCAGUAUGUUUCCAAACAAUUAACAUCAAUUACUGCUUCUUCCGCCGAUAAUUGUAUCUGGUAAGAGAACUGGAAGGAAGCUUGCUUGCAAUAUAUGUCACAAGUAUUGAAAGAAUCAGAGCAUUUGGAAAUAUUCAUAGACCAAAUGUUUGAGCCGUUAAUUACCUGGAGCAUUCCCAGGUGUACUUCACUUUUCCAAGGCACAGAAGUUUUGCAAAAUUGGCAGACUUUUUCCACAUGGAAGAUUCUUGAAUUUGAGGUUGUUUGACCAAUUUGAGCACGUUAUAUGGAAUUUCAAUAGGAUUAUCAUAAAAAAAAAUGUUGCAAAGAACUUUUCAAGCUUCCUGAUAAGUUCUGAGGGGAGACAAAGUUGACUGGACAGAAUAGUUCUGUCUUAACAUCUAUCAGAUGACUCGUUUCUAUUAACCUGAGCCUAAAGCAUGAGGAGCUUUGCCAUACUACUAGCUAAUAGUUUUAUAGAAACUAUUAGUAAUUACUAAUGUCAGGGACAGGGAAAGGGUUGCAUGACACACUUUGACAUAUUGGAAUCUUGCUUGUUGAUAAAGAUCAGGGGCUUGAUCAAGUCAUGCAGGCUGGUUUUUUUGCAAUAUAUCAAGGGAAGUGAAAGGAUGUUAUAACAUCCUGUCUUGGCAUAUGUGAAUCUUGUUUGGUGAUACAUAUUAGGAGCUUGAUUUCUGGGCUUUUAUAGGCAACUGAGCUUGUGCCUGGAGGAGAGAAAACAGGGUACACCAUGCAGGAACAAAAGUGUAUAUGGGAGCAAUUAUAUUCUAGAUUUUGAUCAUUAUAUUAGGCAGCAAGUCCAUAGCAGGGGAACAGUUUUAACAUAUGAAGACAUGAGAGGUUGAAUUUCCAAAGGAAGAGGAACAGUUGGCAGGAAAAUACCCAAAGCAGUAGCCCCUAAUUCAGUUGACUGUUCCCAAAAUGAAGAAGCAAUGGCUUGAGCUGAAAAGGAGAAACAGAAAAUGAUGUUGGCUGGCUGUUUCUCAAAUUUGCGGUUGGUGUAAGAUCAAAUAAUUGGCUUAUAUUCUGACCUCGUGAGGCAGAGUCAAGGCUGAAAAGUUAUAGCCUUCUAGUCCAAGAAUUGGCCGAGAGAUCGGCCUGGCUGAAGCCCAGAGAAGUGAAUACAAAUUUGACCGUGGUUAUUAAACUCGGGCGACAAGGAACGUGGCACAGAGAUAAGGUCAACGACGUCACUGGUUGGGUCAACCUGUGGACAUUAAUUUAAUAUUUAUAAAUAUAAAAUAAUAAUUUUAAUAUACGUAAAAUAUCUAAUAAAGUGCUUUUAGAUACCACUCAGAAAGAUAUAUAAUGAACAUAUAAAUAUUAAUACAAGAUUUAAUUUCAUUUUAUUAUACUUUUACAUAAAAAAUAAUAUAGUCAAAUAUAAAAUAAAAAUGUGUCACUUGGUUUUAAAGACAUAGCAUCAUUAUUUUAUUUUAUUUUAUUUUUUAUUUAAAAAUAAAAUAAUUUUCCAACUACUCAAAUAUUGCCAUUUUGAAAAUUAAAAGGAUUAAUCUAUGACAAAAAGUAAAUAAGUUUAUUUAAAAAUUAUUCAGUUAUCAAAUAAAAAGUAAGCAAGUGGCAAAGUCUUAUGCACAUUUAAAUGAAGAUCCAAUGUACAAGUCUUACCAAAAAUAUAUAUACAUUUUGUUUCAACAAUAAAGACUCCAUAAUUGUAUGCAUUAAUUUUUUAUACACUAACAGUAUAGUGAUUUUUUUAUAUUAACAUUUUUGGAUGAAUGUCACAUGUGCAUGAUUUAAAUUUCAAAUUUAAAUUCAUAUUAUAUGGUCUGAUCUAAACCUGCUAAUAUAACAAAAAUUAUACACUAAAAGUUAUUCUAAUUGUAUUAAAAAGAGGUCAAUUUGAAAACCGAACUAGUUCUCAAAUGAGCCAGCGGGUCAAAUGGAUUUGACCAGAUUUAAUCGGAUCAACUCCUUGUCUGAUCAACUAGAGAUGCAACUUAGCGUGAUGCUUAGGUCACUAGGCCAACAAGUUCAACCAGAAGACGGGUUGGGUUUAAUAACUAUGGUUUUGAUAGCCUCCACAUUCAAUUCAGAUUUAUUUAUAGAAAAAAAGACUUUUGGUAGCACCAAAUUGUUUUUAAAUAAUUUGCUUAAAAGAAAAAAGGUUUGGAUGACUAGAAUGCAACAAAGGCAACAAAUUUAGGUUAGAUACUAAGGGGUGAGUGCCCGCACAUUGCGCGGGUGUUUGGUGACUGUAGUUGAAAAAGAUUUUUCAUUGAACAAAUAAUAGUAUAUUUUGCAAAGAAACAGUCAUCAAAUAUGACAAAACAAGUUUGGAAUUUAUUGUCCAACUCUAAAGAAGCUAGAAUCUGAUGCUUUUAUGUAAAAUGUGUUCAACAUCAGUAUAUAGCAUGAGUAGAGGUGGCAAAUCAACUCACUUAAUUAAAUUUACCCAUACCCGCCCAUGAAUAAAUGGGUAUGGGUAUCUUAAAUUUUUGUAUAUGGGUAUAAAUAGGUUACCCAAUAAUACUAAAUGGGUAUUAUUGGGUAACCCAUCAAAUCCAAUUAACCCAUUUAGAAUUCUCUUCCCCCCAAGUCUCUUCUUUUCCCCCACCCAUUUUUUUUUUCAAAAUUUUCAUUUUGUCAUGAUGUUAACUACUUUUAUUUCAUUAUUAUUAUUGUUAUUAUUAUUAUUAUUAUUUGUUGGUUUUAUCUUAUUAUUUUCUUUUCUCUUAGUUUGUUAACUUGCUCAUUUUUCAGCAUUACUAAUUUAUGAUAAAUUUUAGCCUAUUUUCUUAUCUUUCUAAAAUGAAAAUUUAAAUUUAUAUAUGAAAAAAAAUUUAGGGGUUCAAAAUUUUUGGAUUAAGUUUUAUAUUAAUUUUUAUAGUACUUAGUUCAAAAUUUUAUAUUCUUAUUAUUCAAUUAUUAAAUAAUAGGUAAUUUUGUGACAUAGAGUAUAAAUGAAAAAAAAUUGGUAAUUAAGUGUAUUGAACAUUAUAAAUAAAUAUUUAAAAUUAAUGACGGGUACAAAGAGUGGUAUAAAUUGAUAACUUAGUUUGCAAAAAUGAAUUUUAAUGAGUUUACAAAAAGUUAAAAUAAAUGGGUUAUAAAUGGGUAAUUGGGUUACCCAAUUCAUUUUUUGACUUACUCAUUUAUACCCAUCUAAUUAAAUAGGUAUAAAUGAGUUGACUCACUUUUACCCAUUAUCCAUUUUACCCAACCUAAACCCGCCUAAGUCACCCAUUUUGACACCUCUAAGCAUGAGUAUUUGUCCGCGCAUCGUACUUAUGAAGUCCUAAAGGUCAGAAGAAUCAAGUAUGAAGAAAUACCUAGGAAUCUGGGACACCCACAAGAGUCUCCUUCUUUAAUGAAAGCGUGACAAAUCUAGCAAAACCCUUUGCUUUCCUAUAUGUUUCAAUGUCUUAACAGUUCACCAAAUAAUUAAAUUCCCCCAUUCUCAACAUAUGUAGUUUACAAAUUUUUUUUCCUUUUUCACAGCUCAACUAACAAUAGGCCCCCAAUCUUUGAAAUUAAGAAGAAAUACAAAGAGCAAAACAAGUAGUCAUUGGGUGAGAUUCUUAACAGCUAGGUAGUGGUAAACUUUGUAGAACCAUCAGAUCCUAACGCCAUCAUGGUUAUUGCCUUUGUCCAUGUUCGUUUGCAGUAUCACUUCAUCCUCUGAUCCUUCUCUUCACCACAGCAACUGCUAAACACAGCAAGUCAAGUUCCAUUAGAAACAAAAGAAAGUAGAUGUGAUCAAACAAAACAAAUAGUAAUACAGUAGAUUAAAUGUUUAAGUUCGGUGGAUUUUGAGAUUAGGUUUGGUGCAUUCAAAUGUUUGUACUAUAGGCAAUUUGAGACUUUGUAGCGGCGGUAUGGUGCCUUUAUAACCUGAAAGGAACAAAAUUAAGACACCUACAAAGAUUUUGCAGAUUUACGAACAACCACAAUCUCAAAUUUAAGGAUAUGAGCUAACACUGCUGCUACACACCAGAAGAACCACCCAUAUAAACAACAAAAUUAAGGUUCAAAACUCACCACAAGCUGAACCACCACGAAUAGCUGCAACUGAAGACCAUGCUUGAAUGCUGAGUAAAAAGGCAACAAAAAAAAAAAUCCAAUCCCGGAAACCGAUGCUCAAACAUUAAUUCAUUAACAUACCCACAUUUAUGGCUGUUAAAUUGAGAUGUAAAUGGCAGAGAAAUGGGUUGUUUCCGACCUGAGCUUUAACAUUGUUGGGAGUUGUGCAAGUGAUUAGACAUAAGUUAUUUCAGACAAACGAAUAUCCUCAAACAGUUAUCUUUGUUUUAAAAGCCACACUUCAAUUAAAUGUAUCUAUAAUACCAUUUUAGCAAUUACACCAAUGCAUAAACUUACAUGAGUUGUAGCAAAGUAAUUACACAUUCCAUAAAUACCCAGUUGUCUCCAUAAAUCAAAGCUUUAAAUGUAUAAAAAUAAGAGCAUUUUAGUCAACAUACCCAAACACAUGCUGUCCUCAGUUGUACCAAAAGGUUUAAAAAAAUUACAUAACAUUCCACAUUUCCAGAAAGCCCCUAUCCAUGCGAUUGAAAUUGAAAACUUCUUUUGACCACAACUCAUUUUAUAUAGUAUAAAGAAACAUCUUAUAAUCAAGAAUAAAUUAGCACCUACUAAAGACCAAAUUUGCUUUCUUUUAAUCUUUUUUUUUCAUUUAAUUGAAUACUUUAAUUUCAUAAAUUUUUUCUGUUGGGAUUAGUCUUUCAGUUAAUGCCAGUGUAAGAUUUUGUUCAACAAACUUAGAGGUUAUAUACAUGUGCCAUGAAUUCCUUUGGUUCUCCUAUUUAUUAUGUAAUUAAAAUAGAGGGAUCGAAAUGGAAAACAUUUACUAUCAGUUCAUAUGGUACAAUAUAUUUCUAGUCGGACAAGAUUUUUCUUUCUUUUUUUUAAAGUUGCUAAACAGCUACUCCUAAACAUGAGAAGAUGAAAUCCAUAGCAUAGAGCUCAUUGUCAACUUUCUUAGCAAUUAUUUUUCUGGCGGGAAAGUUUAUUAGGCAGCUUUCAUGGAGAGUUGAUAAUUGUGAUCUGUUUAUCAUGAUCCAGCAUAAAAUCUUUCUUCACAAUUUUCAGUCAAAUUCCAAGCCACAUUAACAAAAUAUAUUUCUAACUUCUACUAGUUUUUUAUAUGAUUAAUUCAAGGAAAGAACAAGAAAUGAGAUGAACUCGAUAAAAUCAAAAAUAUUUGAUGCAUACUUCCAUAAAAAACUUCAAGUAAAGGAAUAUUGUUGAAUUUCUUUUGUUACUAAACAUGCAUGAAAGAUGGUGCUGUCAGAAUUAUUUGCAUCCAAAGCUAUUAGAAAGGAGUCCAGAAAAUACAUUUUGUUGGGAGCACUACUCAAAAAGUUCAAAUGAGGUACCAAGAAUCAAUGUGAUUAAGAUUGGUAACUUAUACACGAGAAAUAACAUUACAGCUACUACUCUUAAGUAUCCUUCAGAAAACAUGCCAUGAAGGGCUGGCAAGAAAUACAGCAAAAAGCAAUACACAUCUCCAUCCAUAUUCAUCUCUGCCUCUCUCACGGUAUACUGGACCGCUCUCUUGGAAAAAUCCAAGAGAAGGUAGAUAAAUACUUGAAACAUUAUGACCAGGAUGAUAACAAAAGGUUUGUUGAUGCAUAUUAGGGGCCUGAUUUUGAAUUUUUAGACCACUGGGCAUAUGCGUGGAGAAAAGGAAUGAGGGAAUGAUAUGAAUCCAACCGCAAUUGGAAGAACUUGUAUCCCGCAAAGCCCCUGAUCUAGAUGAAUAACUAAGUUGGAGUUGCGGAAACUCUUGGCCUUUCUAACCCACGAAAUUGCAAAUCUUGAAUUUAAUCUCAACUCACAACUUAACAAGAUAGUGAACCAAUAUUUUUGAUAGAUCACGUGACAACCAAUUAUGGUUUAUUGGUUGAUAAGUCAAAAAACACUUAAGAAUAAUUCUAAAAGUAUUCAAUUGAAGGUCUCUUAGACAAGAGAGUUGCGAAACACACGUGUGUUUGCUGAAAAUUUUCAAUCGUAUUAAUCUAUCAAAAUAACGUUGGUAUAAGGCCCUAUUUAUAGCCUUUAUAAGUCUUAAGAAAUCUACUCAAAUUUGGAAACAAAUUACUACUUUCUUAAAAUCCUAAUUCAGCCUUGUCAUUGGUCAACAUGACCUGGCUUUAUUUUCUUAACUUAACGACUCAACUAACUCUUAAACUAACUCUAAUUUAUCAACUAACAAUGCUGAAAAUUAACUAAACAAAGAGACAACAUGAAUUAAGUUUAAACAAUUUCGGAUCUUCAAUGAACUUGAUUACUUGCUUCAUGUGAAACUUGAGCAUGCGAAAUUUUCAUGGACUAGAGUAGGGGAGGGGGAUCUGGAUUAUAUCAGGGAACACCAUUCAGGAACAGAAUCUAUUAUCAUAUAAAGCAGAAGUCCACAGCGGAGGAAGAGAGUAACACAUGAUGAAAUGAGAGGUUGAAUUUCCAAAUGAAGAGGAAUAGCUAGCAUGAAAAUAAAGAAAGAAGUAGCCCUUCAAUCUACUAUUUUCCAAAAUGACAAAGCAGUGGUGUGAGCGAAAUAUAAAUCUGGAAUUAAACAUUUAACUGACUUUGGUGGGGAAAGAAUCAAAAGAUGCUGGUUGUUUUUUCUCAUUUCCCCUAUUAGGCCAACGUGACAUCACUGCAAAGUUUAUUAUCAGCACAGAAUAGAAAAGCACCCGUUAGAAGUUAUGCACAACCUGUAACAAACAACUAAGAAUAAAUUCGAAACUUAGUUCAUAAUUUUAAGAAGCAAGAAAUGAAUAAAGUUGAUCGCAUUUGGGAUUGCUCAAACUCAAAGCAAAGAAUAGAAUCAGUGUACCUAAUCUUAACAAUAGAAAAGUGCGAAUCCUAGCAAUGCAUAGUGAUUUUCAUCCCCUGUCAACACCAUUAGUGUGUGGGUUUUUUUGGUCAUUUCGCACGCAUUUUACGGUGAUGGGUUGCUCGUAUUUUUGGCUACAAUUGGUUGGUGUCUUUUUGCUGACCAUCCUACCCUUGGAUUCCAUUUCUACCCAGCAUGGAGUAAUUAUCCACAACAAAUGUGGCUAGCUUUGUGGUCUCUUGCCUUGAUCCACCUCUUUCGGCAGCUGUAUUAUGACAUGGCUCAAGUUCCAAUCCAAAAACUUGGUGGGAUCUAUAAUGAUGCGUUAAGCUAUUACUUACACAUUAAACAUACUUGCACUUUUCCAUCUCUCUCUCUCUCUCUCUCUAUAUAUAUAUAUAUUACUUUAAAUUUUAUAUAUAUUUUUAGUGCAAUUGUCACUGAUUACUUAGAUCUUGAAGAUAAUAUCUACCUAUCUAUUGAAGUUGCCAUGGUUUCCUGACUUACCAUGUUUCAAUUUCUUAUUUAUUUCAUUUGCCUAUGAAUAAAACUUGAUUUUAUAUACAAUUGUAGACACACUAUUGGUGAAAAGUAGUAAACGAAUGACAGCCUAAAUAAACAUAAUUCCCUGAGUGUUCUUGACUUUUAUAAUUCUUAAUCUCUGAGUUAACAUUUAACUAUACAUUUUUCCAUAAAAAGUCCUAAAAAUAGCGAAACAAGAAAUUUUAUUGCCACUAAAUUCUUUGGGGCAGUAUCCUUACUUUGUGAAAGUAGUUAUAAUUGUGGCUCGAUUCGUGCCAUAUUGAUAUAUACAUUUGGGAUGAUGGAGUGUCAUUACAUAGGUCUUAAAUCAUUGCAUGUACGGUGCGAGAGUUUUACACUUUGGUUGUGCAAGCUAUGAUUGUAUUAUCAUCCUUUAGAUUACCAUGUGCGAAGGGUUUAACUGCUUGCAAGCUAAUUUAAAUGCUUUGUUGUGAUUAAAUUUGGUUUUUGGUGUGUACAAACUCUAAAGGUAAGAAAGGAAAAAAAAUCUCAGUUUUCAUUAGGAUCUGAUUUCCUAGCUAGAAAAGAUGGUUUUUGGUGCGUACAAACUGAGCUAUUUCGAAUCUUAGUUUUUAACUACUUUAUUUUAUACUACUUUUACAUAUUUAUAAUCACAACAACACCGUAUUUCAACGGACAACGUCGUGCAAUAUCCGGACAACCUCGCGCCUCGCGCGACGCUAAUUAUGUCUAAUUCUCUUUCAUUUUCAUCCUUACGUCAACAAUCACAAAUGGCCGAGCCUAUUGUAUCAUUUCUUAUCGAAACCAUCGGCAAAUUGUUGGUUGAAGAAGGACAUUCUUAAGUGGGUUGACCGAAGAAGCUGAGCAGCUUCAUUCAGAGCUAAAGAUUAAGCGGUCUCUGUUAAAAGAUAAUGAUGAAAAGCAACAUGAGGCUGCAAUUGUUAAAGAAUGGCUUUCACAAUGCAGCGAUCUAGCUUAUGAAGCUGAAAACGUGCUUGAGGCUCACGCUUUCAAGCUUGCAUCAAGACAGAGCGCAAGAGGCACUAGGAAUGUCAUUCGAAGAUACGCUUGUAUUUUGAAUGAAUAUUGUAUUCGUCACAGAGUUGGAUUAGAGAUUCAAAGUCUUAAUACCAGAAUCUCUAAUCUAACUCGACGUUUUCAAGAAUAUGGAAUAAGUUCUCUGCAGCAACAACUGAGGAUGACAUACUCGUAUGUUGCUGAUAAUGAAGAUUUUGUUAGAUUUAGACCUUAUGUUGAGGUGCUAGCAUGGUUCAAAGUCGCAGUCGCGGUUGCGGUUGUGUCCUGGACCGUUCCACAUCGGUCUCGGCAUAUCGAUCGCGGUCUCGGCGAGACGCGAAUUUUUAAAAUAUUUAAUAUUCUAAAAAUUGUAAAAAAAUAUGAUAAACAAAAAUAAUUUAAAAAUUAGUAAAAAUAAUAAAAAUUCGAGUUGAUUCGGGAUGACUCGGUGAGAUUCGGCCGUUUCAACUCUUCACGGUGACGUCUUGGCGAGUCACGUAUCUCGACAUCAUUUCGUCGCGGUCUCGUCUCGGACUAGACCGAGACGGUGACGACUCGGCCGAGUCUUCGAACCGUGCUAGUGCAGAUCUUGGUGAAUGAAGAUGCAUUUCUUGGCUCUUAUGGAGUUGUUUCCAUCUACGGCAUGGGAGGCUCAGGCAAGACAAGAAAGGUAUACAAUCAUCCUAAUGUGAAGCAUCCUUUUAACAGUUUUGUUUGGGUUGGUAUAUCCCAAAAAUGGCAGACAAGAGAGAUCUUGCAAGGGAUUUUGGUCAGUUUUCUCCCGAACAGAAGAGGGGAGAUUUAGAAAUGGAGAGAUGAUGAACUAGUCGAGCAACUUCUUCGAGUUCAGCAAAAUAAAAAAUGCCUUGUCGUUCUUAAUGAUAUCUGGUCCACAAGUUGCAUUUCCAAUUGGAAGGAAGGGCAACAAGAUAUUGCUCACAACUCGGAACAAAAAUGUGGCAAUGCGCAUUGGUCCAAAUGGCUUCCACUAUGAACCAAGAUUGUUAACCAAUGCUGAAAGCUAGGAGCUUCUGCAGAGUAAGGCAUUGAGAGGCCAGCCUAACCAAGGUUAGUUUUUCCUUAGCCAAUAUUCUUGCACCCCAACAAUGAGCUGUAAUGUUUAUUGUCAUCAUCGUUCAUCAUGCUAUUAAAAUUAUAAACCUCCUAGGCUGUCUGGAUUUACAUUUUCGAAUGGAGGGAUUUAAGGAAAAUGACUAUAACGGGUGAAAGAGUACUAGUGAUGUGGUUCAUACAAUUGAACAAUCUUGUAGUAUGGUCAUACUUGGUCUGAACAACCUAAAUGUGCCAUAUGGUUCAUAUUAAUGAACAAACAUGGACCAAUUAACUUAAACUAAUAUCUACGGCAUUCAUUAAAAUCAUGCUGCUUAAAAAUGGAUCAUUUUAAGAUGGAAUAUUGAUCACCUAGAUAUGCUAAGAUUUGAACUUUAACUUCGGUUUAAGUUUCAGACUGCUAGCAAUUUGUUGAGUUUUUAUUUUCAUGAUUAUUACUAGAUCAUGAAAAGGUGAAGAUUUAACAAAUACAGUGAUGAUCUUCUUUACCAUUUCUCGAGAGAAGUACAUACGAAUCCUAUCUAGUCUUUCAGACAGUAUCGUAGGCUAUGUUUGGUCUGCUGUUUCUCAAAUUUGUGUCAUAGAGACUAGGUUUCUAAAGUCCCUGUUAUAUCCCUAUGGACCAAUCCAACAAAAAUUAAUUUGCAAAAAAUUAGAAAAAAAGUGACAGCAUAGAAAAAGAUUAACUUAUUUCAGUUUAAGUCUUUAAUCUGCUUAACAGGGUUCUAAAUUAACCUAUCCUUGAACCACAAAGCCUUCAAAUUGUUUGAUUUACAGAUUAAUCUUGUCCCUGGCACUUCUAUACUGAAAAUUGAGUAUUAAAAGCCUUCAAAAGGUUUCUUCCAUUUCGGCUUCAUUUUAGACCAACUUGGGGCAACUGUGGUUGGAAUUUUCAUAUAACGAUUCAAUUAUUAUAUUUGUUUUACACAAUAUAUUGUACACUUGUAUAACUUUGUUAUACUUAUAAAUUUUAUUAGUGUAUGCUAUUUCAAUAUAUAAAUAUAACUGUAUUUGUAAAACAAAUAUAACAAUCAUACUCAACUAUAUCAAACCUGAUCGUACCUAUCUUAAUCCCAUUUUAGAUCACUACUAUUCAUCGUUCCCUACUUCUCUUGCUCCCACUCUAACCAAAGAAGAAAAAAUUCAGAAAAGGCCAGACACCGUGAACUAGGUUGGGUUUUGGGAACGUUCGUGUAAUAUCUUUAUAUAACAAGCUAGUGUAGUUUGUUGUUGUAUUUGUCUUAAGCUUGUUGGACUUUUGAAGGAGCAUGAUUGAUCUCUAUUUUAUAAAGGGUUAAUUUUAGAAUCCUUUCUUGAGGUUUAUCCUAAUAUCAUCUAGUACCUCUGAAAUUUCAAAAAUCUCACAUAGUUCUCUUUGAAUGACAAUUUAUGUAACAUCGUUGCCCUUGGAGGAAAGAGAUUAUUUAUUAUCUUUUCACUUUUACCCUUAUACAAUUUGAUUUAUGAAUUUUCAAAUAUGAACAAAAGACAAAUAAGGUGGAGUAUUAAAUUUAGAAUACGAGAAAUGUAAGUAUAAUAAGUAAUAAAUUUAGUUGUUUCUUAACUAGAGAACACCAUUGUGUACAAGGGUAACUUUUGAAACUAUUUUAAUAUUAUAAAAGGAAAAAACUUUAAGAGAUUGGUCAGAACAAGGAGGAAUAAGAGCAAAGAAACACAUAAAAUUUGCCACAAAGACGGAAAUUAGAGUGAAAAUUUCAGAUGAUCAAUUAUAGCAAAGACGGACAUUAAAAAUAGAAAUUUUUGCAACAAAGAGGGAGAAAAAUAUUUUAGAUGGUAUUCUUGUUAUUUGUUGUUAGAUAUUUUAGCUUGUAGGAUUUUUUUUCUCAACCUUUUGCUACUUGAAAAAGUAGGAAAAUAUUGGGGGUAUGAAUGUCAUUUCAACACCUCUAAUUGGAACAUCUAGUCACGUUAUAGUGAUAGGAAAGGUAAGUGAGAUUUUUGAAAUUUUGAAAGUGCUAGCUGAUGUUAGAAUGAGUCUUGGGGGAGGUUUCUGAAAUUAACCCUUUUAUAAAUUAUUUUUAGUACACAGUGUUGAAGUUUUUCACCUGCUGGAAACAUAAUCUAUCAAAUGAAUGUUCAUAAAAUUUUGUGGAUUCUUCUAGACAAAUAUCUCAACAAUAAACCGUAUGGUCGUAUUAUGAAAUUAAGUCAAGGAUCAACAUCAUAAACACUGCAACACAACUAAGAAGACAAAUGUUAAUUGAAUUAAAUUUCUACACUUUGAUAUUAUAUAUAUUUUUAUCAUUAGGUGUAUGAUACCUAAUUUAAAUUUAAAUUUAAAUCUAAAAAAAAUAAUGAAGAAAAGAGACAAAUAACAAGAACUUGAAUGAAUCUAAUUAUUAAACUCCCUUUUUAAAGAUUGUCGUUAACAUCAUAGUUGGUAGUUGGAACCAUCGAGCUAGUUCCGUAGGAUUGACUCUUUAGCAUCAUAGUCAAUCCAGGAAUCUGGGUCCCAUGGCUCUUUAAUAGGCUGGCCACGUCGACAUAAAUCUGGUUUAUUUGGCUUCCCAUUAUGUGGCUACGGCUUCCAUUCUACUUCUCCGGCUCCUGUCUACUUUCAUUGAGUGGGAGCCAGCUGACUGAAUCGGCACAGCCUCGGCUCUGGCCGGGUCAAAUUUCUUACCAAACACUCCAAUCCGUUAGAGAAACUCGUAGGCCAUGUAACCGGCUAGAAGCCGAUUAUAUGCAAAGCUGAUUCGUCCAGCCCCUGUAACGAUGUUGCUGGAUUAGCUGCUGUUACUUCACGUGAUAGUCUUAUGGUUAAUGAUGUGUUUUAAGAAUCGAAUCCUUCAAAAAAAGAAUGGGAUCGGAUCGAUCAGUUGGACCGCGAAUUAAUCAUGGUAUCAAUCUAAUUCUACAAGAAAGUCGAAAAGUUAAAAAAAUUAAUGAAAAUCAAUUCAAUAAAUGAAACCGAUCAAGUUCUAUUUUGAAUUUUGAUUUAGGACUUGGACCCUUUUUAUGGGCUACCCACUUUUUUGAACUUUUGGGUUUUAUCAAAACUCAACAACUACAAUUAAUUGUCUGCUACUACAAUUAUUGAUCAGUCAUUUUUUUCUCAAAUUGAGAAAAAAAAAAAAAACUUUAGGUGGCCCAACUUAAAAACAAAAUAACUACUCCAACUUAAAACUAAAGAAAUCCUCUUCCUUCAAGAAUCUUUAUCUCCGGAAACGCUCUACAAGUUUCACUCAUCUCCUCUUUUAUUUUAUUUUCUUUUUUCUCUUCUUUUCUAUCUUUUCUUUUACAUUAUUGAUGGUGAAAGUGAUAAUGAAAUUGAACUUGGUAGAUAAAGAAGCACACUUGUUUUCCCUUUCUUCUUCUAUCUUUGGUUUUCAUAUUCAUGAUUUUUCUACCUUUCUUUUGGAGUUAAUUUCACAAAUCCUAUCAGAUUUGUUUUUGAGUUGGGAAAGUUAAACUCGACUUUGUCUAUUUUAAGAUAUUAGAGAGAUUUGUUCAUAAUUUUGUUGUUUCUUUAUUUUUUAUGAAAUACUUUUUCUUUUAUUUUAUUUGUUCAUAAAUGAAUUAGAAGGUACUAGAUCAAUAAAUCUUCUACAGAAGAUAUUACAAAAUUUGGGAUUUUUGUGUUGAUUUUACACGUUUCUGCUUAUUUGCUAUUUUCUUAUUUUUAAAAAUAAUAAAUAAAUAAAUCAAUCAAUGAACUGGGGUUAAACCGGUUAAAUUUUGACCUGACCACUUUAUCAGUUCAAUCACUGAUUCGAAUUUCAAAACAUUGGAUUAAUGAGAAAAAACUAACAUGUUCUCUUUUGGUCAUUCAAACUCAUCUUAGUGGUGGGCAUUCAUUAAAGCACUAUGAAAAGGCCACGUCAGCCAAAGAUUUUUUUUUCUUUUUUGAGAGUAAAACAAAGUUUUCAUUCGUUCAAAAAUAAUAAAUUACAACUUUGAUUAAUGAAACGGGAUGUCAUCCUACCCGAUAGUUCUACAUUCCAAACCAAGAGAAGUUAUGCUAAAAUAUGGGUUGGCAAAUUUCUAGUUCUACGUACAUGGAAGAUUUUACGUCCUUGAAACAUUUUACGAGCAUUCGGUCUUGUCUAACAGAUUGUCAAAAUAAAAAAAAAUCCACUUCAUUCGAAUUCAUUUUCUAAACAACAUUAAUAGCAUCACUUUCAAGAAUUAAAGUCUCAAUUCCCACUUCUUUUGCCCAUUCCAAACCUUUGAUGAUAGCUACAAUCUCACCAAAUUCUGGAGAUGUAGCUUUACCAAUUCUUUCCGCAAAGGCUGCCAUAAGUUGUCCUUCACUAUCUCUAACAAGAACACCAAUUCCUGCUUCCUUUAAAGUCUAUGUUGCAUUUACAUUAACCUUUCAAAAACCUUACUCUAGUGGAUGCUACCAUCUGGUGAAUUCAUUUGUGCUAGUCAUCUUACUAGUUUCUUGGCCUUGGAUAAACUCCAGUAAAUAUGAUUUUGCCUAUUCAACUAUCAUGUAGGGUUUCAGUAUCUUUCCUUCAAAUAUUAUGCUAUUUCUUGCAUAUCAGAUCAUCCACAUGAUGAUAACAAAGAGUUCUUUCUCCUUCUCUUCGCCUCUUCGCAAUAUCACCUGCAUUUUGUCUUUAAGACAUGAAGCAUUAACUACUCUAACAUCCAAACCUAGAUCAGCUAGGUCCCAAAUCUGUACAGAAAAACCAUGUUUAUUAGGUUGAGAGAAUGAAUUUUUUUUUUCAGAACGAUAAGUGAAGGUUGAGAGAAUGAAUACCAAAACCAAAUUUAAGUUUGGAUCCUUAAGGGCUGAGCAAGCCUUGGGGUAACAGCUAAAAUAGAGAACUUAGAUUCAAAUUCCCUUUUCCUCCUUCUAGCACUUAAAUCUCACAUUUCCCCGACUAGAAAAAAAUUAAAAGGAAAAAAGUGUGGAUGCUUGACAACAAAAAUUGAUUCUCGCUAUUCCGCCAGUAUUUAUCUUACUCCUUUCCUUUUUCUUUUGUCCCCUUCUUCUCUAGUUUCAUAUUCAUGUGCUUUGAUACUUUUUUCUCAAAAAAAAAAUCUUGUUCAAUUUUUCUAAUGCAAAAUCUGAUUUUGUUGUGAAUUUUAUUCAAAUAGGUAAGGGAAUGACUGUAGUUAAUAUCAUGGAAAAAUAGGAAAGGAAUAAGAGAGUGUAAGAAGAAUACAUGGAAACGUUUGAGUUGAUUGUCAAGGACAAUUUUGUCAUAAUUGCUUACGCAUUAACAGCGGCUGAAGUAAAAUAUUACAGAUAGUUUAAAAAGCUAAAAAAGGUAAACUUAGGAAAUAGGGGUGAAAAGGUAAAUUCAUAUUAUGGAUUUUUCAAAACUAGUUCAAAAGGAAACGAAGAAAGAUUGGGAAAUGUUAGAGGGCAGAACUUUGAUUAAGAUUUGUAAACUAGGGAAAAAAUUCAUCUUAAGAUAUAUUCAAAUUAAUGAGUUUUGAUUUGCCAAAGAGGUCUUGGUCUAUUGGCUAAUAUUGAGACCUCAAAACUUUUAGAGGUUUGAGUUCAAAUUCCUUCUUUCCUCUUCUUCACUUUUUAAAUUUCAUUUUUCCCUUACUAGAAAAUUUUUUUUUUUUGAAGCUCUCAACAGCUCUAGUCCAAGAAUUGAGCAGAGAUGCCUUGCUGAAGCCCAGAGAGUAGAGUAGCGAGUAUAAAUAUAACGUCCACUGCUCUAAGACUGGAUAUAUUUAUACAAAACACUUUAGGUAGCACCAAAUAAUUUCAAUCAUUUUGCUUAAACGGAAACAACGUUUAGGAUCCCUAGAUGCAAACACAAGCCAACAAAAUUAGACUAGAUAAAAAUCUUAUAAUUAAUAAAUCACUUAUCACUUCCUAAAAAUUAAAUUUGCUUUCUUUUGAUCUUUUCUUCAAUUAUUUGAGUACUUUGAUUUCUUAAACGUAUAUUUCCUUUGCAGUAGUCUUUCAUUUAAUGGCAGUGUAAGAUUUUGUUGAACAAAUUAAGAGGUUAUACAUGUGCUAUGAAUACUUUUGGUUCUCCUAUUUACCAUGUAAUUAAGAUAGAGGCAUCGAGCUGGAAAGAAUUUAUAAUCAGUACUUUUUUCUGGUACAAUACAUUUCUAGUCAACCAAGAAAAAAAAAAAAAAGAGUUGCUGAGGAGCAACUCGAAAACAUUAGAAAAUGAAAUUCACAGAAUAGCACAUUGAGUUCUCGAGUCUCAACCUUUUUGACACUUAUUUUUCUGCCGGGAAAGUUUAUUAAGCACCUGUAAUGAAAUUGUAGAGUUGAUAUUAGUCAUCAAUUUAUCAUGCUCCAGCACAAAUCUUUCUUCUCAAUUUUCACAUUGCCUUUUUUUCCCCCUCAAAGCCAAGCCAUAUUUACCAAAUUUAUUUCUAACUUCGAGUUCUUUAUAGCGAUUCAAGGAAAGAACAAGAAAUUAAAGAACCCGAAAAAAAUAAACGGUGUGAGGCAUAUUUUCAUGAAAAGUGUUUAGUGAAGAAAUCCUGCUGAAUUUGUUUAGUUACUAAACAUACGUGAAAGGUGGUGCUGUCAAAAUCUUCUUCAUCCAAAGCUAUGAGAAAGGAGUAAAAAAUUACAUUUUAUUGAAGUACCAAUCAUAAAGUUUCUAAUGAGGUAUUAAUCAAUGUGAUGAACCAAGUUAUACAGGAGAAAGAGCAACACAGCCACUAGUACAAGGCCCCAUUGGCUAAAUCCUUCAGAAAACAUUCCAUGAAGGGAAAGAAAAGCAGCAAAAAGAAGUAUACUUCCCCAUCCAUAUUCAUCUCUAUCUCUUUCAUGGUAUACUUGACCACUUCCUCGAAAUAAUUCAAAAGAAGGUAGAUAAAUACUAGAAAAAUAUAUGACCAGUAUGAGAACAAGAGGGCCAAGAAACAUCUUUGUUACUGCGUAAAUGAUCAGAACAAUUGCAAGAGGUAGCACUAAUGAUUGUGUGAUUUGAUAAACCAGAAGAAGAACUGCAACGGGGACGACCAAUAGCACAGUGAAGGCCGAGUUUUCAGCAUCUGAGGCUAGUGAAAUAUCAUCCAUCAGACUGCGACCAUGGAGGAGGAUUCCAAGAGUUGCCACUAGGAGAAAUGGGAUCAAUGGCGAUGGCCCUGUGGCCAUCUAGUUGUGAUACAAUGAUUAGUGAUGGUAUUAGAAGAAAAGUCACGAAGUCUUGAUAACCCUUGUAUGCUUAGAAAAUUUCCUUGGGAUAUAGAUAGCACAAUUUGCAAUUCUUGAUAUGGAGCAGAAGGAAGCAAUUGGCAGUUGCUUUGGAGGCAAGAUCUCUUAAGAUCCAUGCGUGUUGUAGGAAAAUUUAAGUUGAGUAUGUGAGGUAGUUAGUGGAAAGUGACAUUUAUGUCUUUAGAUAGAAGGGUUGAUCUGAGUUGCUUAUUCAGCUGAACAACUUGGUUAUGGUUUGGUGGUGCUAGUUCUCAAUAGUUAUGUUGCUUGUAUAACUUCAGCUAAAGAUGUAAUCUGAUAAAUGCAGAUGGUGACUUAAUUCAAGGAAAGAAGUACAUGAUUAUGAAGCUGAGAAAUAAAACAAGAAACAAGUUAAACAAUUCUCACCUCAAAACUAGGCAAGUUUUAGGAUUUAAAGUGAAGCAAAUCAAUCUUAAGCAACGCCUCUCUUACAAGAAAAGUAGUUAACCAAAAAAUGCAGCAAACAAAGAGGGAUAAGAGCUAUUUGAAGCCUUUCUUGUAAGACAAGUAGAUUAAGAUUACCUACAAUACUGAUUUUGAUUGUGCCUCACAUGUCAAGUGAGGUAAAAAAGAGUCAAAGACAGGAAGAAAAAUGAAAUCAUACUGAGGUCCAUGCUGCAAAAUUUGUCGCUUUCAUUAAGUAAACAUGUGAGCUUUGUAAGGCAUAAACUAUACAUAUAUCUUUUCAAUGGAUUGCAUGAAAAGAAUAAACCCAAAGUCAAGAAAUAAUUUAAGUGAUAUUGUUCAACCGCGCUAUGUACAAGAUCAAUCUUUUGAGUUGAGGUAUAAUGCAACAGGAAAGUUUGUGGAAACUUUAUAAGAACUCUGGCAAAAUUUUCCUAGCCUCUAAAAAGUUGAUGCAGUCUUUAGCAAUAAUAGUUUUAGUUUUUUUCCCCCCUUUUAAUCUCUCUUGAAGUAGCCACUUGAGCAUGUCUUGGGGGAUAUGAAAGUACCAAGUUCGGCUACUGUUGCAAUUCUCACUGGAUCGGUUAUUGCUGUAAUAUUGAUCAAUUUGAGGGGCGUUUGGUUAGGGGUGGGGUCGGUUUUAUGGUAAUUUUGAGGAAUUUUCGUGGCUUUUUAUUAGGAGUUUGGUCUGGCGGCAUUUGUUUGCUGAAUGGUUUUUGGGCAGAUAUGUGACAAGUAGGCAAUCAAUCCUCCGGUGGAUACCAAUCCAAAAAGAAGCAGUCUACUUUCUUUUUUUUUUUUUUUUUUAAUCGCAACGAUAAUACUUUUAUGACAUAAUCUAUCCUAUUUUAGAAAAAAGGGAAUCUAAAGAGAUGCAAUGAUAACAUUCACCAACCAAAAAAAAAUUUAAAAUUUAAUCUAUUCUAAUAUAUCUUAUUCUACAGAGAAGGGGAGUCUAAAGAGGCACGACGAUAACAUUCACUAACCAGAAAAGAAGCACUCUAAAAUUUAAUCUAUCCUAUUGUACAAGGAGGGGGAGUUUAAAGAAGUUGUAUAAGGAAUUAAUAAGUAUACAGAUUUAAUUAGAUCAAAAAUGUGUUCUGACACCUCCUUUGAAAUUCUUUUUACUAGAGAUGAGUUCCGAACCUCCGACCUAUAAUUCAAAUAGGGAUUUAAUCCCUUUUUGGUGACCAGUGAGCAAAGCUCACUUUGCCUCUUUCUUUCUCUCUUCUUUCUCCACCCCUCACCUCUCCACUGAUUACUUGGACCACAAAAUCACCUUGUGAGUUGCGACAUCAUCCUCCUCUCUCCCUUUCCCUUUUUCCUCUCUAUCUCUUUCCUUCUCCACUUUUGGUCCACUGCCCUGGGAAGAGGGGCAGGAACGGUUGUAGGAAGUAAUCGUUCUGAAAGGUUGAUGGCCAAGAUUUGACUAAAAAAAUAUAAGGUUCAGAUUGCAUCAUGUACAUCGUUUUUUACACUAUAUGUGGAACCUAUAAAAUUUUGUUCUAUAAUUACACAUUAUUGAAAGUGAGUUACACUAUGUGCAUACAAAGUUAAAUCUUGUGCAUUUUACACAAAACCAAUCAGAAUAGUUUUUCUAAUGACUGUUCAGGCCCCAUGUCCCUUGCCCUGCUUCAACACAAUUUGGCCCCCACCCUACCUUUCGGUGCACUGUCGGACAAGGGGCCAGAACGGUUACCAGGAAAACCAUUCGGGACGGUUUUGUGCAAAAUGCACACGGCGUAACUUUGUUUGCACAUGGUAGAACUCACUUUCAACAAUGUAUAGCUAUAUAACAAAAUUUGAUGGGCCCUACACAUGGUAUGAAAAACGAGGAACAAGAUAAAAUUUAGACCUUACACUUUUUUUGGCCAAAUCUUGGCCAUGAACUUUUAGGAACGGUUGCCGUUCCUGCCCCGCUCCAGCACAAUUUGGCCCCCAACCCACCAUUCUCUAACUCUUAACCUAAUCUUUUCCUCCACUGUCACUCCUACUCUAGAGCAUUUUAUUAGCCACGGCAGGCUUUCUCUGAGGGGCGAAGCCAAGACCCCACAUUAAGUGGGGUCAAAUUUUAGUACAAUAAAACUUAUUUAUUUACAAAAAAUAAAACUAUUAACCCUACAUACAAGUUAAAAUUGUACUAUGCCGGCACUCAUUUUUUUUUAAAACGCUACAAAAUCAAUUCAUUAUCAAUUUUGUUAAAUAUAUCUUUUUUAAUGUAACUAAAUGAACCUCUUGAUUUUUUUAAAAAUAAUUUACGAAUCUUAACCUUCUACGAAUUUCUUUUAAGAAAUUCAUCUUUACUGUAUUAUAAAUAAAAAUUGUAAUUACUUAAUUUCUUAUUAUAAAUAAAAAAUUUAUCAUCCACUUGAAAAAUUUUUGUUUGUGGAAACUUUGAAGUUCGAAGUAUUGGUUUUCUCACUCCACUCAAAAAAGUUAACCCCUUGUUUUUCGAAACUUUGAAUAAAUUUAUUCUUGAACUAACUUCCAUAAAUAACUUGAAAUAAAUUCAAAAUUAUUGUGAUAAUAAGAAUAAUGAAAUUUCAAUUGUUUGGGGUCGAUGUAUAUAGAAAAGAGAAUUUAAUAAAAUUUAGUUAGGUCAAAUAAAAUGCAACUUUAAAAUUUUCUAAAUUACCUAAACCUAGAAACUAAUUUUCCAAAAUUGACUCCACUUGCUUGCAUGCGGCUCCGCCACCUUUCUCUUUUGUGGUGGACCUAAGGCUACCUGAAUUUCUGUCUUUUCCAUUUAUGCCCGUUUAUUUGCAAGGUACGCAGGGAGGGGAUAGAUGGGCUUUCUCUGUUAAACCAAUCGGCGGAUGGUCCAGCAUAAAACAAAAGGUUUUAGAGAGGUUUCACUGUUUACUAUUGAUGAGCUAUUUUUGUAUAUCUAAUCUUCAUUUUGAACGCUGAAUUUUGAUUCCUUGUUUGCUACUAUCGCUCUUUGUUUUUGUUACAAUUAUCUUCUGCUGAAUAUGAAUUUCGCUGAUGUAGUUGUUUAAGAGUACUUAUAUAUAUAUAUAUUAUUAUUAUUCUUGUAGCUUCUUGGUUGUAAGAUCGAAGAUUUUGGUCUACUAAUUACUGUGCAUGUUAGCUGUUUGUUUUGAAUAUUAAGCAUACUUUCGCUUGAUUGUUCUUAGGUUCUAGCCGGUAGGUAUAUUGGUGCAAGCCCCAGCAAAUUUUAAGCAUUUGGACAUCUUUCCCAGUAGGCGUUAGUUGAUUAUUUGACACUUGGCACCCUUCGCUUGCGCAUAAGCGUAGGAGCUGCCUCUUCCUUCACAAGUGCUUCGUAUACACCCACUCCUUGCCUUCUUCCUCCUCUACCAUCUCAUGUUCUUGGUGGUUAAAAUCAUUUGCCACUGUUCAAUACUGCUCGAUCCCUUUCUCUUCCUGGCUACCAUCUUUUGUGAGUUUGGGGUUUGGAAAAGUACAUCUUGUCUACGAAGGCAGUUUUGCCAGAGAUAUGAAUUGCCUAUGGAAUUAUGCAGCUUUAAGAAUAAGUGCCUAAAAAUGACCAUCUAAACACAUGCUGAAGCUUUACCUGUGUGUGAUUAGAUGAAUCUUUAAUCCCAUGUACCUGUAUGUAAUUGAUUGAAUGUCUAAUCCCAUGAUUUGUGUUCUGACCAAUUUAUGCGCUAAAGUAUUUUGGUAUGAUCUAUGCAGGGUUUGAAAAAUCUCAAAGUGCAUGUGCUUCAAGCUGCCUUUGGUGAUUCAGUGAUUCUUACUUGACCUUCAAAAUUGGUAAUUAAAUUUGCCAAAUUGUGUAAUUUAUUGCGAUAUGUUUCUGAAAUCUGAAAUUUUUUUAAUGCUAAAGCUUAUUUGGUUUUCAGUUUCGAAACUGAUAUUAUCAACCUAUGGCUUUAUACUUCACAUGCAUAUAACUAUCAUCUGGAUUUUGGAUUAUCUUAGAUAUGUCAUAUAGAGUUAUCUUAGGCAUGAAACUUCCAUCAAUUGAUAAUUUCUUUCUUAUGGUGAAAAGUUAUAUUGAUGUGCAGUAUUUUGUGUUAAGAAUUAAGAUGUCGAGAGGACAAUACUCUUCAAGUUGGCACCAUUUUGGAUGAAAUAAUGAUUUUAGCUGUAUAAUAUAUGGUAUCAUCAUAUAUUUAUCCCAAACACAAGUUCCAAGAAUAUGACAUUUUAAAUGAAAAUUUGAAGGAUUGAUUAAAAGCAAUGAAUGCCAACGUAAGAUGUUGGACAAAAAUCCUCACGGUAAAUACAGGCCCCGUUUGAUAAAUGAGUUUUUUGAGUGUUUGUCUAAAACUUUUCUAAAAUUUUACUGUAAUUUACUGUAGAAGUUGCAGAAAUUUUUUUUAAAAUAUAUAAAUUUUUAGAUAUUUUAAAGUGUAUAGUUUAAAAACUUUGAAAAGUUUUUUUGAAGUUACUGUAGCUAAAACUAUUAAAAAACUUAUAGCAGACAAACUUGGCCAAAAACUUGCUUGUCAAACAAGGCCAUAGUAAAUCAAAAACAGUAGUUGUAAGCAUUGGAAUUGAAUCCAUGUCUUUUCCACUAAUAAGUCUUUUUCAAUACUUUCUAUAGCCAAGAAUGAAAGUUAAUGAAAUUUAAUUGGGGGGGAGGGGGGGUGGAAUUUGAGUCUUGGCUGUUUGACAUCAUACAAAAUAUUGUUAGUUUUGCCAUGAAUUUUGUGCAUAAUUGUUUUGCUUAAAAUAGGCCAAAAAGAAUGUGGAUCUUUUUCAAAUGGUGAGUAUCUUGUGCAAAUUACAACAGCAAACAAGAUUGUAGUAUUACAUACUUCUCAAGUGGAAUACAACAGCAAACAAUAGGCCAUUUGAAAAGAAUGACGCAGUAAAGAGUAUGCGUGGAAACAUUGGAACUACCGAACCAAUGACUUGAACAUUUUGUGUCUCAAGUGCCCAAGUUAGAGUUUCUUGUUUUAAAAUUGUGGAUUUGCAUAGUUUUGGUUUGAAAUACCGAAGGGUUGUCAGUUGAUUGAAUCACAAUUAAGAUGCUGUUUUUUUUUCUUUCCCUUUUUUGCCAGAUAGUUGAACAUAAAAUUUGUAUUCAAAAAUUUGUGCAAGUUAACGACUGUAUCUUGAAUAAUCUAAUAACCUUUUUUGCAAUUUAAACUCAGGUCAACACUUUUUUUUGUGACUUGGAGUGCAAUUUGAGGCAGCAGAGAACAGGGGAAACUUGUUCAGUACUAGAAUUUGAUUAGCACUGGAACCUUGAACUUUGAACAGCUGAUUCUUGAAGUAACCGAUCAUGUGCUUACUAGUUAGUGAUUUCGAUUUCAAAUAGCUCGAUGUACUAUGGAUAAAGAGAGUUUAUAAUCAAUCGGUUUGUUUGGAUUGUGAAUUAUUAGAGAUAUUUUUACUGUAGCACUUUUUGUGAUGUGAUGUAUGUGAGAUAAAAAGGUGUGUUGAAAAUUGUAAUGAUAAUGUAAGCAAAUAUAUUUUGGCAAAUAAAUCGCAAUCCAAACAAACCAAUAUAUGUUGCUAAUAUUACAUGUUUUCUCUUUGAUUCUAUUAAAAAUAGAACCUGGGCAUGCUCGUACAAAGGGUGAUGAGGCCCAAAAAAACUAGUAAAUGCAAAAAAGCAACUUGAGCUUUAACAAGCAAAAACAGUUUUAAUUCGUUACAAUCUAAGGAAGACCGAUCUUGAGCGAACCAUAUUUGAUUAAUAGCCAAGACUUUAUGUCAGAUUUCCCCAAGAUCUAUUCCAAAAAGGUACAUUAGCAAAGUUUUCAUGAAAUCCCUUAUUCGAUUUUCAAGUUCUACCUUGCCCCUUUCCCCAAAAAAAAAUCCCACUUGUUGCUCAUGCAUUUCAUCUUUAAUUCGUGUAAGCAUCAGUUAUUUGAUAUGUCACAUUCGCAUAUUUCCAUAUUGUUUAUAGAUGUUGAGUAAACCUGUACACAAGUCUGAUUUCGUUGGCAAUUUAACACAACAAGCUCAAACCCAUUUUUUAUUUUUUAUUUAAACCCAAAUCCAGUUAAAAUCUGAGCCUACUGCAGAUCAAGUCAUUUUCAUAUAAAUUUUCAUAUAACAUAUGGAUACAACUCAACAUUCUAGCGUGCAAGCGCUAGAAUUCAUAGAAGAUCAGGAAUUUUGGAUUCCUCAGUGUUAGGGUACACUGGUUGUAAAGUUCUUUCAAGUUUUUACUUGAAUCUGUAUAGGUUUAUUAUCUAUAAAAUCACCUAAUGUUUCGGCAAAAAAAAAUAUUUGAAACUGACUCAAAAACACCUUAUUUAGGGUGCUAAAGCCCUUCUUGAUGUUUUUGAGAUUACAUCAUCCCUCUCUUGAGACAAUAUUCCUUUUUAUUGCACCAAUAACAUGUCAAAGACAACUCUGGCUUUUCAUUGAGCAAAUGUUUAAAUUAUCGUUUCCAAUGAAGCUAUAUUUUGACCCUUAAGAAAGCAAAUGAUUAGCAUUGGCUGCUAUGUUUUAGCAGAUUGACCUCUUUGCUUGAUUCAAUUCAAGCCAUUUGUUAUCAAACUGCUAAAAGGCUUUGCCACAUAACCUAAUAUUCGACACUGCCUAAUGGAGUUUGUUGGAUAGUUACACUGGAAAACUGGAAACAACCUUUAUAGAUGACAGCAUUUGAAACUAUAAAUGCAGUUGCAAAAUUACUCAUUUAACUCACUCAAUAACAUAGUACUCCUCGGUACAUGACAUCCAGCAGGUUGGUAAUAAGUGCCACUAUAUUCUUCAUAGACGCUAACCUCAACCUGCUAUGAAGUCACUGAGUUCCUGUCAUGAAGCCUAAGCAAAACAAGAUGGCAGACAUUAACAAUUCACGGAUAUUCUCUCUGAACUUGAGCAAUAUAAAAAUGCACAGCAGAUCCAAGUUUAUAGAGUUAUUUCCUACUAGCAGUGCCAUGCUCCUAGGACUAAGUGUUUCAGCAAUCCAAGAAGAUAUGGCAUUCCUACUAACAUGCUCCAUUGAAAUAAUUCUACCACCAAUCCAAGGAACAACUUUAAGAACCCAGUCUCCACUUUUCAUAACAAUAGGAGUCCUUGAGAGCCCUACACCUUUGUGUCCGCAUCUGGUGUCUUUUUAGCACUCUCUGCAAAUGUAACAACGAAUAUCAGAAAUCACAUCGCAGUAGAAGAUAUUCACAACUACAUUUAAAAAUUUAUGUUUCAAUACCUAUCAGGCCAAUCAGAAUGUAGCAAACAAUAAUUUCGGCUUCUCAUACCAAAAUAUGAAAAAGUGGCAUUAACUAUCUCAUUGUUAUUUUGUUAAAUGAAAGACACAGAAAGUAAUUAACAAAUGCAUAAUGACUUGUAAUGAUUUGCACAUGAUAUGCAUAGAUCUUGAUUACCUAUGUCAUAUAGACAUGCAAGUGUGUUACAGCACAUACAUAUCUACUUAUUAAUUCUCAAAUUUGUUUGCAUGCUUUUUUUUCUUUCUUUGCUUUUGGCAAAACCGUGUAGAACUGCCUGACUGUUGUAUUCAAAGGUUAACAUGUUUCCCAUGUGUAUGAUCUGGAAAUAAGCAAAGAAACUGUUUUAAUGGAGAGUAACAUCAGACAGAAUACUAUACGAUUUUAAAGAAGGUCCAUACAGAAUUAAAGGUUGUCAUGCCUAUUCAUCUAUGUCUGAAACUGGAAAAAAAACCUAUAUCUAAAACUGAUGAAAAAAAUGUCAAUCAUUUGAUUUCUCGUAUUUCCUACAGACCAAUUAUGAACUUAUAAUAUGGGUGGUGCAAAGCUGUCAGCUUUUCAGGAGACACUUUUUGUGUUUCUUGUACUUCCAUCUGAGUUUUUUCCAUGGUUGAUGAUGUUAAUCAGGUACACAAGUCAAACUUAGUCAGAGAUUCUCAUUCUAAAGAAGGUGGUUUUAAAAGGAGAAGAGUUUAGAGGUAGAGGAGACCAAGAGAUUGUCUUAAUGGUAAAGGUGGCAAUUCCGCUCAUAGCAGAGGAUCAUAAAGUUCAAACGCUAAGCUGGACAAUCAUGCAAAGGUCAAAUGUCAAAAUAGGCUAGCAAUUAGUAGAAUCAUUCAGCAAAUUGUUUGGCCAUGCUAGCAGCUAUCCAGUUGUCACAAGCUUGGAAUGAUGUAUAAGCACCAGCAUGUGUGUUAGUGAUAAACUAAUAGGAAUAUUAUGGUACAUUUGGUCAUUUUAAUCUCCUUUACUUCUUUUAUGGAAUAUAAGAUUAAGGUUGUCAAAUAGCUCAGUGAAUGCAUUUAUCAUAGAUGAUAAACAAGCAGUCCAAGCCAUAAAACUACUCAUGACAAAAUAUGAAUGAAUAAAUAUAAAGAAGAAAGAAUUAGGAUAUUACCCAUGCAAUUUUUGUGCUGUUUUUCACUUGCUAAUACCAUAUUUGACACUUCACUUUGUGAAGGCAACAUAAUUUGGAUAGCUUCUCCAUCGGUGCCCCAUACUUCAAGCUGCUUGAACACGCAAAUACACGAUGAAUUUUCUAAAAGUAUUCAAGAUUGAAGAGAUCCUAGCAACAUGACAUGGCAAAUUUGAGUUCAACAGGAAGGAUACGCACCAGAGCACAUUUACCAAGCAAUAACUUCACUUGUAAGCGGCGGUUUGGCCUUUUCCACAAGCCAUCGGUUUUGGAAACACGAACUGUGACAACUGAUGACCGGAGUUCAGCAACAUAUGUUGUCGAAAGAUAUCCACCUUUAGUAUACUCAUGGCCAUCUCCAGCAUCCUCAAAGAGGACACCUUCUGCUUUACCUGAAAUUUUCAAAGAGUAGGUCUCAGCUGCAAAUUCCACUUGUCACAGCAUCCACUAUUACAGACAGUAUUAUGUUUGAUUAAUCUAAGAAGAUUGAAAUGGAUGACCAGAAGAAGAUAUAGCUCCUGAAAGAUCGCCACCACAUAUAGUGCUUGAGCUAUAAAACCUCAUUUUUCAGAUUCUUUGAUUAAAACCUUCAGAAAAGCAAAAAUGGGAUUCCAUUCCUUGUUAAGUAGUUGGCAAAUCAUCCUUCACCAAUCCUUUAUGUGCUAGGUCUAGAUUGACCAGUCAUUUAGUUCAAAUUGUAAAGAUUCUAGGGUUGUCAAGGUUUCAUCAACUUCUGCUUCAAUGUCAAUUCUCAAUUUCAAUAGAGCAACAGUUUACUUCCUUCAUAGAAGAAAUCCACAUUACCAUCAGAUGCAAUAAACUUUCAUAAUUUAAUUCCAGUGAUACAUGCACAAAAUAUGUGUCUGCAAUUUGGAGAAACAAUUACAGGAAAGAAAAGGAAAUUGAGAAGAAAAUGAAAGUGAGAAAGAAAAUUGGAAGCCAUUUGCAAGUUGACAUUAGGAAGUUGUGGAAAUUUAUACUAGCCAUAAUCGCAUUGGCAAAAAGUAUGAACAAGUGUUACACCAGGAGCGAUUUUCAUCCUUUAUUAAGUAGUAACGAUGUGCAAUAUCUUCACUAUACAUAAAGCGGGAGUAAGGGGCAUUUAGUGUCAAAUUGUGUGUCAUUAUUUAGAUUUUCACUUUUGCCUCAGUCAAUGUUUAUUACUGCAAAUCUACCAAGGAUAAACCAUUAUCUCAUAAUAAGUCCCAAUAACUUCCAUACUUUUUUCUUUUUUUAAUCAAAAUUUUCCUUUUUUGCACACAGGGUGUGCCUUUCUUACUAGUAAAACAUGAUAUUUCUUUCUCAAUCAAAAAUUUUGGCGGAUACGGUAAGAACCUUCAAAGAGAAAAGGAAAAUCAGGUCAGAGGAUAAUUAGACCAUAAAAGGUUCCCUUAUUAUCAUGAAGACUACAAGUGAAUGGGACAAUGCAAAGGAACAACCACACAACUAGAAGAUGCUGCAGUGUGUCCUUAAUGUAUGUUCUUCACCAAUAAGCUCUCCCAUAAGAAUAAAAAUUGUCACAAAAAAAAAAAAAUCUUAAUGGGAGAAAGAUAGAAUCUUGACUGUUUUAUAGUGGACACAAAUUCAAUCCAUUUGCAGUGUUCAGUUCUUGUCUACAAAAAUAAAUGAACCCAAAGAUUGCCUCCUCUGCAAUUGAGCUAAACUACUUUAUAUUACUUUUCUGACAAAUCUAAGGGACAUAGAACUACUUAUCUUAACCCAUUACUCUGGACUCUAAGAAUCUGUAAUGGAAUCAAUAGAUAAAUAAUUACAUCUGCCACAGGUAACCGUAAAAUAAAUCCAUCUCCAAUUUUUAACAUACAAUAAUUUCGAAAACCCUAGGUUUUGAAGAACCAAUUCUCUGCAAUUAAAAGAACUACCAUAUUGAAGGAAUAGAAAAGAAAUCUAAGCUGCUUCACAGCUCAUUCUAAAUAGCUGGAUAGUCUGGGAGAACACCCAGGAGGGAGAACAAAAUGAGAAACUGCUCAACUUUUCAAAGUUUCCAACUUCACUAAGAACGUGAAACUGAGACAUGGACAGCAUUAAAAGUCCAUGUCGAAGCUACUCUUGUUUGAGGUGGCAAAUCAAGAAAUUUUGAAAUUCAAGUAUACCACUAUCUAUAAGAGCAUAAUAAAAUAGACCAACUAAAUAAUUAGUUCUAAGAAUUGUAUUUGGCAAAAUCUUUUUCACGCGUUGCACAUUACCAUGUUCAUCUAAGGCGACAAAAAGGCACAAGUCAUCUGUAGGAUUAGCUUCACCAACAUGUUGAUAUGGAGGACCAACAGGGAUGAUUGAUCCACCUUUUAGAUACAAUGCCGGUAAGUCCUAAUAAAACCAUGAAGUAAUGAAACAAGUGUUGAGUCAAAGCAUCACACAGCAGCAAAAGGCCAAGCAUGUUUCAGAUGACAAGCAACAAAUACCGGAUGUGAAUCUUCGAAGUCAAAACUCAUCCAAAUGCCUUUAGGCAACCCUGGCUGUGUAUGAUCUAAUUCAUUAUCACGUUGAGUGCUGCAUGAAAUCAACUUCAACGUUAGAAAUUGUUUUACAAUUAAGCUAAAGAACAGUGUAAUUGACAAACAUUACAAUUAAAGAAGAGAAGGUAAAGGACGAUGAAUAUAGAACACUUAUUAAUGCAGUCCUUCUCUUAAAGAAGUAAACUUUGAGCACUGAAAGAAAGGCAUGCCUCAGCUAGAUAUUAUUAGAGGGAUAAGCAUAAUUAAACUGUAUUUCCAAAAAGAAGAAACCUGAAGGAUCAACAAGUGGUAAUGAAUUCAUUAGUAGUUCCAUUUUAAUUUCCCAACCAGUCAAGUCCACCUUUAAACUCUAGCAUUGCCAAGGCUGGUUGCAGCUCUUAUCCUUAUUUCACUGACCACAUGCUUAAUUCACAACCUUACCAAAGGCAAAACCUAUUUUCCCAUAAUUCCCAAUCCAUUUCUUCUUUUUGACUAAGCAAGCUCUUAUGCAUGGUAUGAAGCAUUAGAAGUUUUCAUAGUUUUUAGCUCCACACAUUCAGUAAGUUCCUUCAGUCACUAAUUUCCAGAGUUAUGGAUAUGCAAUUAUAAGCUGAGCCAAUUACAAGAAACACAAUGACUACAAGAAAGUAAAGACAAUUGUACAACCACAUAGUACAGCAACUGUGAAGUAAUUAAAAGAAAACCUUGCACAUAUGAGAAGAGGCCCCAGCAUAAAUGAAUCUUCACGGGUUCUUAGCUUGGGGUCUUCUGGAUCUGCACAUAGAAUGCAAGAAUUUAUGGCUCAGAAGACUUAGGAGAAUAAAUAUUUUACUUACAUGAGGACGAAAUAACUGAUCAUAACAAGAAUUUACCAGCAAAAAGAAUGGGAGUUGCCACAGGUAUACCCUUUGUGUGAGCCACAUAAAACAAGGUGUAAAUAUGUGGCAAAAGGCGGUAUCUUCUCUUUAAUGCUAGACGGCAAACUUCUUCGCACUGUGAGAGUAAAAAGUUCACCAGAAAACACGGUAAGUAUUAGAGAUUCCUAAACUCAACAUAAAAAAAACAAACUGAAUUCAGGAUUGGCAAGCAAGUAGCGUUUGUAUAGGUUCAAAAUGCAUUCUCCGCAUAUAAGUUAACUCCUUGGUAAAAAAAGUCAAAAUCUAACUGGACUGAGAAACAGAUUGAGUAUAUGCAUCCUUUUUCUUUUAAUCAGUCUUUGCUCCCAAUAUAUUUCACUUCCCACCAGAAUACAGAAGGAUACUCCUCAAAAGAAUAAGAGUCUACCACGUCUUCAACAUAAUUUCACACGGUCACCACCAGGUCUGUCAUUAAUCAGCUUCUACUUUUAUCAUGCUCGUUAUCUUUCAUCUUUUUCUUACAUAAUAUAUGCUUGGUAUAUUUACUGCAGCUGGGGUAGUAAUCCAUGUCCAAUUGAAAAAUGAUAAGAUUCUUACAGUUUUGGAACACCAACUAUUCAAAGUGUCUACAACCACGUUAUGGAAAAGAUCUGUGCUCUCAGUCAUAAAUGUAAGAAAUUAGGCCAGGGCUAAUUCAACAAAUAUUAAAAAAUGCCCAUGUAGAAAGAUCUAAGUAUACCAGAAUGAAUAAAUCAUAGUCCUGAAGUCUUAAAAGAGCUAAUGGAGCCCUUAUUUCACAACAGAAUAAAAGGAAAAUUCUUAUUUUGGCAGAGAUUCAAUAGUAUCAUUCUAAGAAGCAAGCCAGCUGUCAAAUGCUUCAAAUGAGAAGAAAAUAAUGGUAAAUUCAACAACAUAUUCAUUCAUAGGGCACUGAAAAAUGCAUAAAAUUGACCUAAAAAUUGAACAAAAACUCACACUAAACCUUGCCAAAGUAAAUUGAGUACUGAAAAUAUCAAGCAAGGACAAACUUCACCAAAAGACCAAAGGGCACUGAAAAAUGCACAAAUGCCCUAAAAAUUGAAUGAAUACUCACACGUAAACCUUGCUAAAGCAAAUAGAGUUCUGGAGAUAUCAAGCAAGGACAAACCUCUUCACCAAAAGACCAAGGUUCGUGAUUGUUGGUAUCAUCCUCAGAAUGCCCACGACAGAAUGGAAACAAGGACCCAACACCCAUCCACCUUCCAAAGAGUUUCGGCGUUGCAUUACCACCAAAUCCACCAAUAUCUGGCCCUGAAAGUGGCUGACCACUGAGCCCCUGUAUUUUAGGUUGCCUUAGGUAUAGCAGUUAAACAUAAUAAGACAAAUAAAUAUCACCACUUUUGACUGAAAAGAAAUAUAAAAAUACAAUCAGCAUCAGCUAAUCCAGAACAAAGAGAAAGGCAGUAACAUUCUUUGAACUUCACUCCAUAAUCACAAAGGAUAAAACAAUAGUCUGAGUUUUAGAAGGGAACUAAGUAUUACACAUAUAUUCAUAAAGCCAGCUAUUGAUGAUUUAUUUAACAUAGUAUCUGUAUUGAAUACAUGUUAUUAUUUCAAGGAUGAGUAUUCAUAAAAGGAGCAGCAGUAUUGAAUGGUACAUAAUUUUUUUCUCUCCAGCAAACAAGAGGACAUUUGAAGAUAGAACCACUCCAUGACACAAGUUAUAAAAAAAACAAAAGGAGCUUUCAUCUAGUAAAAAAAAAUGGAACAGUGUCAUUUAGAAGAAUAACAAACUUAUGUUAAAUCUCCAACAUACAAGGUCAUUUGAAACUAUAACUGGUAGGAGUGACAUCUUGGUCCAGAUCUAAAGGUUGUCUAGUUCAGAUGAUUUAUAAAUUUUAAAAAUCAGAAUACAGCUCACACUAAACUGGAAAUGAAAUAUAAGCACACAUAUUCUUUGGCAAAUGGAUUAAGUUGACCACUAAGUUGCAGGAUUAUGCAUACGUGCAUGCCUAUGUCUAAUUCUACUUAGCUAGAAUGGAAUAGAAUGGUAGGGCGCUGAGACUGUUGAAGAUAUGUGAUUAUAGAAAGAUUUGCUAUUGUAAAUAUUAGGAAAGAUCAGAUUUAAUUUGUUUUGAUUAUUGUAUCAGAUAUUAAUUAGGUAAUAGAUUAAUUUAGGCUAGCAUGAUUUUAGGAUCUAAAUUAGGUUACACUUGCGUAUAUAUAUAUUUGUACAUUGUGUAGUCCAAAAAUAUGAAAAAGAGUAUUUUCUUUCCCUUUUUCCUUAGUUUUCAUGGUAUCAGGGCUUUAGACUCUGUUAUCAGUUUGUUUUUUGACGUGAUCCUAUUGAGUCACUUUAGUUCUUUCUUGUGUGAAUUAUAAUGGCAGAUAUGAAAGAUAGUAGUAGAGAGAUGAAAACAGUAAUUUCUGAUUGUUAAUAAGUAUUUUGGGAGGAAAACAUCUAGUCACUGUAUUAUGAGUGACCAACUAGUAUUUAUAAGAGUACAAACCUAACAAACUAUUUACAAGAAUACCCUUACUAAUUUAUUAUCUACAAGAAUACUUAUAUUCUCUUAACACUCCUCCUCAAGUUGGAGCAUAUAUAUCAUAAGCACCCAACUUGUUACAAAUGUAUUUCACCCUAGAGCCCCCUAAACUCUUGGUAAACACAUCAGCCAAUUUGAUCUACAAACGGUACAUGAGAUGUUUUGAUGACCCCGUCAAGCAAUUUCUCUCGAAUGAAAUGACAAUCAAUUUCAAUAUGUUUUGUCCUUUCAUGAAACACUGGAUUAGACGCAAUAUGAACAGCCGUCUGAUUAUCACACACUAAAUUCAUAGACUGUUUAUGCUCAAACUCAAGUUCAAGUAACAUGCUCUUCAACCAAACCAACUCACACACAGUGUGAGCCAUAACGCGGUAUUCAGAUUCUGCACUUGAUCUGGAUACAACUGUUUGCUUCUUACUCUUCCACGACACUAAAUUACCACCAACAAACACACAAUAUCCUGUAAUCGAUCUUCGAUCUGAGGCAGAAUCAGCCCAAUCUGCAUCACUAUAUCCUUCAAUAUCAGUGUGUCCAUGAUUUUGAUACAGCAACCCUUUUCCAAGAGCACUCUUAAGAUACCUGAGAAUCCGUAUAACAGCAUCCCAAUGACUAGUACGAGGGGUAUCAAGAAAUUGACUCACAACACUCACUGCAAACAAAAUGUCAGGUCUCGUUACAGUGAGAUAAUUUAUUUUACCCACAAGUUUUCGAUAUUGCUUAGGAUCAUCAAGUAAUGCACCUUGAUCUCCUGUUAAUUUCACAUUGGGAUCCAUAGGAGUAUCCACAGAUCGGCAACCUAACAUCUCAACUUCACUCAACAUAUCGAAUACAUAUUUUCUUUGACAUAAAUAAAUUCCAUAUUUAGAUCGAGCUACCUCAAUACUCAGAAAAUACUGUAGAUGACCUAAAUCCUUUGUCUGAAAGUUUGCCUGUAGAUUGGAUUUAAGUUUCUGGAUCCCUACAACAUCAUCACAUGUAAUCACAAUAUCAUCCACAUAAACAACUAAUAAAAUUUUACCAGCAUUAGAAUGUCGAUAAAAUACAAAGUGAUCUACUCCACAUCUUGUCAGACCGAACUCCAUGACAACACUACUAAACCGGCCAAACCAAGCCCUCGGAGACUGUUUCAAUCCAUAUAAGGAUUUUUUCAAACGACAAAUCAAUCGUGGAUUCUCCCCCUGAACAACAAAUCCAGGAAAUUGUUCCAUAUAUACCUCUUCUUCCAAAUCUCCAUGCAGAAAUGCAUUUUUCACAUCCAACUGAUGCAAUGGCCAAUUAUAAGUUGCUGCCAAAGAGAUAAGAAGACGAACAUAGGUAAUCUUUGCAACAGGAGAAAAUGUUUCUAAGUAGUCUACUCCAUACACCUGAGUAAAUCUUCUAACUACCAGACGAGCCUUCAAUCUAUCAAUAGAACCAUUAGACUGUACUUUUAUAGUGUACACCCAUUUACAACCAACAACAGGCUUACCUGAAGGACGAGGGACAAUAUCCCAAGUACCAUUUUGUUCCAAAAUAGACAUCUCUUCUUGCAUAGCUAAUCUCCAACCAGGAUGAUUAAGAGUAUAGGUAAUAGACUUAGAAAUGGAGAUAGAAUCAAGAGAAGCAACAAAAGAAGAAUAUGACAUAGAGAGACGAGAAUAAGAAACAAAAUUAAAAAUAGGAUGGGAAGUACAAUGUCUCUUACCUUUGCGUAAAACAAUAGGAAGAUUUAACUCAGAGGAGGGCGUCAUACCUGAAUUUGAAAAUUGAGAGUUAAUUGGUGAAGUGCGUGGCAUAUCAGGAACUUUCUCAACCAUGGAACGACGAGAGUAAACUUGAAGAUGAGGAUGAGAUAAUCGAGUUAUGAAAUCUGGUGGACUAGAUAACUUAGGUAAUAAAGGGGAAGGGACUGGUAAAACAGGAGAGGAAAAAGAGGAACACUAGUCUAACUCACAAGGCAUACUUUGUUUGAUAAAAUAUGGAGUGGAUUCAAAGAAAGUAACAUCAGCACAAGUAAAAAAUCGAUUUAAAAUUGGACUGUAACAUCUAUACCCUUUUUGCGCUUGUGCGUAUCUUAAGAAAAUACACUUAAUAGCACAAGAAUCUAAUUUAUCCACCCCGAGAGCAAGCUGAUGAACAAAACACACACAUCCAAAAAUACGAGGAGGCAAUUUAAACACAGAUUCAUGAGGAAAAAGAAUGAAAUGAGGUAAUUGACCUCCAAGAAUAUUAGAUGGCAUGCGAUUAAUUAAAUAACAUGGAAUUAGAACUGCAUCACUCCAAAAUUGUUUGGGCACAUUCAUGUGCAACAACAGUGUUCGAGCAAUUUCGAUUAAAUGUCCAAUUUUUCUUUCAGCAACUCCAUUCUGUUGUGGAGUGUGAGGACAAAAGGAUUGAUGAAUAAUACCAGACUUAGUCAUAAAGGUAUUAAAAGGAAUGAAAAAAUAUUCUUUCGCAUUAUCACUGUAAAGUAUAUGUACAGGCACACCAAAUUGAUUCUUUAUUUCUGUAACAAAUGCACAAAAAAUGGAAUAUAAUUCUGAACGAUCUUUCAUUAAAUAAAACCAUGUAACUCUGGAAAAAUCAUCAACAAAAACUACAAAAUAUUUAAAACCUAACUUUGAAGUGACUCGACUAGGAACCCAAACAUCAGAAUGAACUAACAGAAAGGGUUCAGAAACCCGUUUAUUGACUCUAGGAGCAAAAGAAACAUGAUGAUGCUUUCCUAAUUGAUAAAACUCACAUUCUAACGAAGAUAAUUGAUUCAAAGUAGGAACCAACUUUUUCAAAUUUUGUAAAGACGGAUGACCUAAACGACUGUGAAUUUCAAGAGGAGAAACAGUAGCAGGACAAAACAUAUUGAAGUUGAGAAACUAAAAACCAUUAUGCUCAUGCCCUCCACCAAUCGUUCUCUUUGUCUUCAAAUCCUGAAUGACAACAGAAUCAGGAGAAAAAGUAACUGUACACUGUAGAAAUUUAGUGAACUUACUAACAGACAUUAGAUUAAAGGGCAAAUUGGGUACGUAAAGAACAGAAGACAGCGGAAGUGAUGGAUUAAUUUCUACAGUGCCUAGUCCUUUAACUUUAGUGGUAGCUCCAUCAGCUAAAAUAACAUGAGGAAAGGGAGUAGACUCUUGAAAAUUAGAAAUCCUAACCCUAGGACUUUUGCUCUGAUACCAUGUUAAAAGGUAUUUUGGGAGGAAAACAUCUAGUCACUGUAUUAUGAGUGACCAACUAGUAUUUAUAGGAGUACAAACCUAACAAGCUAUUUACAAGAAUACCCUUACUAAUUUAUUAUUUAAAAGAAUACUUAUAUUCUCUUAACACUGAUGUUAUUCCUAUAACAUCAAAGAUUACUGAACACAAACUGAAUGGAAAUUUUUUUUUGGAUUGGAGUAAAACUAUUCGGAUAUAUCUGCGCAACAUUGAUAGAGAUGAUCAUUUCACUAAUGGUCCACCCGUUCAUGGGGAAGAAAAGAAGGUUUGGCUAAGGGAAGAUGCAAAAUUAUUUUUGCAGAUCCGAAACUCUAUUGAUAAUGAGAUAGUUAGUCUCAUCAAUCAUUGUGACUUUGUUAAAGAUCUUAUGGAUUAUUUGGCCUUUUUGUAUUCUGAUAAGGGUAAUUUAAAUCAUAUAUAUGAUGUUCGCAAGGAAUUUUACCGUUCGAAAAAACAGCAGAGAUCCCUUACAGAAUAUUUUAUGAAUUUUAAACAUGUGUAUGAAAAAUUGAAUUCUCUCCUUCCUUUUAAUACUGAUGUAAAAACUCAACAGUGUCAACGGGAACAAAUGGCUGUAAUGAGUUUUCUUGCAGGAUUACAAGUUGAGUUUGAUGCUGCUCGAACACAAAUUCUCUCUAGCCCAGAGAUUGUUUCCCUCCGUGACACUUUCACACGAGUGUUGAGAACCGAGGGAUUUUUGUCUACUUUCAAUGUUACUAGUGCUCUCGUGAAUUGAAGUGGAGAUGGUUGAGGAAAUAAUGGUAGAAACGGUGGCAAAAAUGAGACUGGUGGGGUUGUUGGUCAUGGACAAUACAACUCAAAUCAAUGAGUCUGUUAUCACUGUAAGAAACCAGGUCAUACCAUACGUACGUGUUGGGACCUUCAUGGUAGACCUCAACAGCAGCCCCCGUUUGCAAAUUUCGCAACCCAGGAAAACAAUUAUGUGCCUUCUGACAAAUCCAUACUCAUCUCUGCUGAUGAGUUUGCCCGCUUUACUGAGUUCCAGGCCUCAUAAAAAUCUGCUAACCCAUCUUCUAGUACCAAUCCUCCUUCUAUUGAUCACUCAGGUAAACUUACUACAUGCCUUGUGUCAUCUUCUAAUAAAUGGGUUAUCGAUUCCAGUACAACAGAUCAUAUGACCGGUAAUAAAGGUAUCCUCUCCUCUUUUAAUCCUAAUAAAGAUCAUCCGAAUGUUACUUUGGCUGAUGGGUCAUAAGCUUCAGUUGUGGGUUCUGGUGUAGCAAUUCCAAUGUCAUCUAUCCCCUUAUAUUCAGUCUUAUGCUUACCUAAUUUUUCUUUUAAUCUACUCUCAGUCAGUAAAAUUACAAAAGCUCUCAAGUGCUCUGUCUCAUUCUUUCCUGAAUAUUGUGUUUUUCAGGAUCUUAUGACGGAAAAAAUUAUUGGUAAAGGACGUGAGUCUGACGGCCUGUAUACACUUGAAACCCCUUCAUCGAAAGUGCCGAAACUUGUUGCAUGUUCCUCUACCUUGACUCCUCUUGAAAUUCACUGUCGUUUGGGCCAUCCAUCUCUACCCACCUUGAAGAAGUUGUGUCCAAGUUUUCAGAAUUUAUCCCAUUUAGAUUGUGAGUCAUGCCAAUUUGUCAAACAUUAUCGUUUGUCCUACUUGCCUAGAGUCAAUGAACGGGCUACAUCCCCUUUUGAAUUAGUGCACUCUAAUAUUUGGGGCUCUUGUUCAAUAGUAUCUAAAUCUGGUUUUAAGUAUUUUGUCACUUUUGUUGAUGACUACUCUCGUGUUACUUGGUUAUAUUUAAUGAGAAAUCGUUCAGAUUUAUUUAGUAUCUUUUGUUCCUUUUGUACUGAAAUAAAAACACAAUUCAAUGUGCCAGUCCGCAUUUUGCGAAGUGAUAAUAUAAAAAAGUACUUUUCUAAACCUUUUAAUUCAUAUAUGUCAGAAAAUGGAAUCCUUCAUCAAUCUUCAUGUUUCGACACACCACCACAAAAUGGUGUUGUUGAAAGGAAAAAUAGGCACUUAUUAGAAGUUGUUAGAGCCCUUCUAUUUCAUAUGAAGGUUCCUAAGCAAUUUUGGGCAGAUGCUGUUUCAACAGCUUGUUUUUUAAUUAAUCGCAUGUCAUCUUCCGUGCUUGCUGGUGAGAUUCCUUAUUCAAUUUUGUUUUCAACCCAAUCUUUAUUCCCCGUUGAGUCACGUAUAUUUGGGUGUACUUGUUUUGUUCGUGAUACACGUCCUCAAGUGUCUAAAUUAGAUCUCAAAUCUCUCAAGUGUGUGUUUUUUGGUUAUUCACGUCUUCAAAAAGGGUAUAAAUGUUAUUCUCUAAGUUUAAAUCGUUAUUUAGUCUCUGCUGAUGUUACAUUUUUUGAGACACAUCCAUUUUUUCUUGAAUCUAAUGUCUAUAGUAGUCAGGGGGAGGAAGAUGAUAUUCUAGUCUACACUGUUACAAUAACUGUUCCUACCAGACCACCAAUCACUCAAGUGUAUUCUCGUCGUUCUCAACACAUAGACUCACAUCCUCCACUAUCUUCUCUGUCUACAGAUCCGAGUCCUAAUCCACUGCUUCCUCAGUCUCUAGAUUCCAGUCUUGAUUUGCCUAUCGCUUUAAGAAAAGGUAAAAGACAAUGCACUUACCCAGUUUCAUCAUUUGCUUCAUAUGACCAUUUGUCUCCCUCCUUGCGUUGUUUCACUGCUUCUUUAGAUUUGAUAUCUCUUCCUCAACGCUUAUCUGAGGCUUUGGAACAUCCUGGUUGGCAGGCUGCUAUGGAGGAAUAAAUGAUGGCCCUAAAUAAUAAUGAUACCUGGGACUUGGUUCAUCUACCAACAGGUAAGAAACCUAUUGGUUGUAAAUGAGUGUUUGCUGUUAAAGUCAAUCCUGAUGGUUCUGUUGCUCGCCUCAAAGCUCGUCUUGUUGCAAAAGGGUAUGCUCAGACAUAUGGAGUGAAUUACUCAGACACGUUUUCUCCAGUAGCAAAACUUACCUCUGUUCGAUUAUUUAUUUCCUUUGCUGCUACUAAUAAUUGGCCUUUGUACCAGUUAGAUGUUAAGAAUGCAUUCCUUCAUGGAGAUUUGCAAGAGGAAGUUUAUAUGGAGCAACCACCUGGAUUUGUUGCUCAGGGGGAGUUUGGUAAGGUUUGUAGAUUCCGAAAGUCAUUAUAUGGUUUAAAACAGAGUCCUCGUGUUUGGUUUGGGAGAUUCAGUGAGGUGGUUCAAGAGUUUGGCAUGAAGAAGUGUAAUUCUGAUCAUUCUGUCUUUUAUCAACAAUCUGAAGUUGGUAUUAUCCUAUUAGUGGUUUAUGUUGAUGAUAUUGUUAUUACUGGUAGUAACAAUGCAGGUAUUGCAGCCCUUAAAAGUUUUCUUCAAUCGCGCUUCCAGACAAAAGAUUUGGGUAUGUUGAAAUACUUUUUAGGCAUUGAGGUUACAAGGUGUAAACAAGAUAUCUUCUUAUGCCAAAGGAAGUAUGUCCUUGAUCUUUUGAAAGCAACAGGAAAGCUAGGUGCUAAGCCAUGUAGUGUACCAAUGAUUCCCAACAUGCAACUUACAGCAGAUGGUGGGGAGUUAUUCUCAGAUCCUGAAAUAUACCGGAGGUUAGUCGGAAAAUUGAAUUAUCUUACUGUGACUCGUCCGGACAUUGCAUAUCCGGUUAGUAUUGUGAGUCAAUUUAUGUUCUCACCAAGAACCACCCAUUGGGCAGUUUUAGAGCAAAUCUUAUGUUAUCUUAAAGGAGUUCCGGGACGUGGUAUACUAUAUGGCAAUCAUGGUCAUUCUCAUGUUGAAUACUUCUUAGAUGCAGAUUGGGCAGGUUCUAAAAUUGAUCAAAGAUCUACAACUGGAUAUUGUGUCUUCGUUGGAGAUAAUUUGGUAUCGUGGAAAAGUAAGAAACAAAAUGUAGUAUCUCGCUCUAGUGCAGAGUCUGAAUACCGGUUUAUGGCACAAUCCACUUGUGAGCUUAUAUGGAUACGCCAAUUAUUGUGUGAGGUGGGAAUCAAUAAUUCACUUCCAAUGAAAUUAUGGUGUGACAAUCAAGUUGCCCUUCAUAUAGCAUCAAAUCCAGUUUUUCAUGAGAGAACAAAGCAUAUCGAAAUUGAUUGCCACUUUGUUCGUGAAAAAAUUCAGCAAAACUUGAUCUCAACCAGUCAUGUGAGAACUGGAGAAUAGGGAUGGCAACAGGCGGGGUUGGGGCGGGGGACCCCUCCCCCAUCCCCCGCCCAGUUACCUACAAACUCCCCCCGCCCCCGCCCCAUCCCCCGUCCCCCGCUCCCCCCGCCCCGCCCCACUUUCCCCGCGGCCCGCGGGGCUAAUAAAAAAUUAUUAUAUAAUUUUAUUAUGAUUAAAUUUUAGCAAAUAAUCAAGUACUAAAAUAUCAACAUAUCAUUAAAUUAUUAUUCAUUGUAAUUUUACAAUUGAAACUUAUAAAAACAAUCAAAUAAAAAUUAUUUGAAUACAAUCCAACAUGAUGAAAUAAAUAUAGCUAAAGUAGUCAAGUUUUCACUUUUGGCACAAAUAUAAUCACUAAUUCAUUAUUGUGCUUGUGCUUUUUUUAAGAAAAAAAUAUUAUUGUAUUAAGUGUAAUUAGGGAUUUAGUAUAAAUGUAUUAGUAAAUUUAGUAUAACCAAUUAAUAAUUUGUAUUAGUACACAUAUAUAAUUAUUAGUAUAAUUAAUAAUAUCAAUUAUAUUAUAUAUACUAAUAGACAUUAUAUAAUACAUAUAACUAAUAAUAUCAUUAUUAUAAGUUUAUAACUAAUUAAAUUAUAUAUUAUAUAUAUAAUUAUAUACAUAUAUAUUUUAUAUAUUUAUUUUUUAAAGCGGGUGGCAGGGCGGGGGAUGGGGAGGGGGUACACUCCCCUGCCCCCCGCCCCGUUUCUAAACGGGGAGAAAAAAUUCCCCCCGCCCCAUUAGCCCCAAGUGGGGCGGGUGACCCUAUUGGAGAGCAGUUAGUUGAUAUUUUCACUAAAUUUCUAAAUGAUCCAAGAAUUGAUUAUAUUUGUGGCAAGAUGAGCAUGAUUAACAUCUAUACUCCAUCUUGAGGGGGAGUGUUGAAGAUAUGUGAUUAUAGAAAGAUUUGCUAUUGUAAAUAUUAGGAAAGAUUAGAUUUGAUUUGUUUUGAUUAUAGUAUCAGAAAUUAAUUAGGUAAUGGAUUGAUUUAGGCUAGCAUGAUUUUAGGAUCUAAAUUAGGUUACACUUGUAUAUAUAUAUAUAUAUAUAUAUAUAUAUAUAUAUAUAUUUGUACAUUGUGUAGUUCAAAGAUAUGAAAAAGAGUAUUUUCUCUCCCUUUUUCUUAGUUUUCAGAGACAAUGAAUUUCCAUAUAUUAAGAUCUAUUACCUUGGCAUCAAAUGUACAAGUUUACCAGCUCUUUAGUUGGGUUAUUGGAUUCCUUUUAAGCAAAAAUUCGAAAACCUUUACUCAGAAGGGAAAGCAAAGUGCAAUGCAUUUUGCCACUAUGAAAUCUCUAGGGAGAUCAGUCACCAGCCUAACCCUGCUAAGAGAUAGGCUAUCGAGUGGGAUCAAAUGCAUGACAAGAAUUGAUUCAGAAAACGUCAUUUAGAAUGUUUACUAUGAUAAACACUAUGUUUCUUGCUAAUUGCAUUUUUGUUAACAGGGUAAAUUUGUAUCAAUAGCCAGACAUUGCUUACAAACAAAGAAACAGGCGUGUGGAAUAAAUUUAUCAGAUAUAGAAUCCAAAGCCUGAUUAUUUUUCUCAGUCAAUUACCAAUUGAAGAACCAUGGAGAUGCUCAUGUCAAGGUGUUCCCAGGUGGAAAGAUUGUCUCCUGUCCAUGUAGCAGCAUAUCUUUGACUACCUACAAAUCCAGCUCUGGUAAGAACAAAUGGACGUCUAUUUUGAUCAGCUAAUUUCAUGCCUUCAUAUGUGGACCUUGCCAUCAGCAUGCCAUAAACCUAAAAUGCAUGACAAGUCUAAUCAAACACAUCAGAAUAACCAGUAGCCGACAACAAAAAGCAAACAGAUUCAAAAGAUUAUCCAACUGUUAAAAUAUGUCAGCUGUGGCACGUUAAAUAAGACUCUGAAGCAUAGUUCUCUCAUGUAACAUGGAGCAAAAUAAGGAGAACAAGGAAUCAUACAUUGUGAUAAUGUGAGUGAAUCUGGCAACCUCCGAGUUCAUCGUCUCCCCUGUGAAUGUUGUUCUCAGGCAUUGUCUUUGUUACAGUCUGCAAUGAGAAAUUAUUAGGCAAGCAAAAGAUGAGAGGACAUGCUGAGAGAUCACAAACUUCACCUUGAAAAUAGCUGGUUCAUUCAUAUCAUUCCAAAUACCAUCUACACCAUUGGCGGUGAAAUCUCUAACAAGAUUAGCCCACCAUGAGCGGGCUUUUGACUGAGUGAAAUCUGGAAAUACACAAGGGCCAGGCCAUACAUCACCUAAAACCAGACAUAGCACAUGAAAAGAUAAAUGGUUGGGAGACCAAAUAAAGGUACAAAAGCUUCAAGAAGAACCAAGGUGAAAUUCAUAUAUUUACCUACAAAAGGCUUCCCAUCUGCAGUCUGAACCCAAAUAUCUUUUUCUGAACCGCUAUCAUAGACAAAAUAACCUUUUUCAAAUUUAAUCCCUGGAUCCAGCAUCCAGAUCGCUUUGAAACCAUCCCGGUGAAGAUCGUCAACCAGACAUUUGGGAUCAGGAAAUUGCUCCUGAACCAAAAUCAAAAUAGUCCACAUAGUUCAAUCUUAAGAAGCAUAACGAGGUAGACCCCAAUAAAAUUUGAUAACAAAUAAUGAGCCUAUGCAUGUCAGGAUGAUGAAGCAUAACUACACCUAUUUGCACUACUCAUUUCUAUUUUUUCAUUCUCUUCUGUAAGAUCACAGAACAUUUAAGUCCAUUUGCCCAUAAGCAUCUGUGUUUUGGCUAUCUUUAGACUGCAGAAAGUGAAACAACAAAUAUUGCCAAAUCUGUGAUUAUUAAAUCCCAAGAACACCCAAGAAAUUUAGCAAAGCUGAAGGUGAAAGAAGAAAGUGAUGCAGCAUAAGAUUUAUCACUAAUGAAUAUCUUAUAAUCCGCUGUCCAGAAGGUUAACAGCAGUAUUAGAAAGUUACAGUUGACCGUGAAGGAAUGUAAAUAAUAAACAGUGAAUCCAUCCUUUGUUACAAGCAAUGAAGGAGGACAUACCUUGUCAAAAGUGAAACAGCGAAAACCAUCCAUGUAGUCUAUAUCCAUCCAAAUUACGUCACAAGGAAUAUUUUUCUCCCGGAAUGUCCUUGCGAUCUGCAGUGUAUUGUAAAGGAAAAAAAACAAGGAGCACAAAGUUCAGGAGGACAGGACCGUAGAGUUCAGAAGCUGUCUGCAACUAUUUAACUCGCACAAUAAUAACAACUUCCAAUUUGAUUAAAGCAAAGAAAUCUGCAGAUGUGAACUUGCACUGCACUGAUUCAUAAGGAAACCACUGAUUAAAUACCUAAAACAAACAUAAAUAGAUGUAUAGGAAAGUGCUAAAUAAGAACAUUGUACAACAACAAACAGGUAAACCAUGUAGUUUAGGAAAGAGUAAAAUAAACUAACCUCACGAACUCUUGCAUCUGAGGCAUAGCUCCAACGGCAUUGGUGAUAACCCAAUGACCAUUUUGGGGGCAUAAAUACAGUGCCUAUGAGCAAAAUGCAUACUUGAAUUACUAAUACUUCAGGAAUAAGAAGGAGAAUAUGAUAAGAUAAAUAAAGUGGAAUCAUGAAAAAGUCUAGGCAUGUUAAGGCAAAUCCAAAGGUGGCAUUUACAGGAGAUUUAGAAAUAGUAACACAUUAUAAAUCCAAGGAACUCCUAUAUGAUGGAAAGCAUCACAAACCAUUCACUAAAAGAUUUUAGAGCUAAAUAUUACUACAGAACUUUCUAUGAUAAUCACUCCUUCAACAGCUGAACAUCAAUCAGGUGGGACAACAUAGUUUAUUCUUACAAUAGGCCCUCAAAUUGCACCUAACACACUAUCAAUUUAUAGCUUCAGUUGCAUUGUCGCUAAACCACAGUGAUGCAGUCCAGGUUCCGGAGAUCAAGAUUUUGCAACACAAAAAAAUUAAGAUAAGGAACACAGAUCACCGGUAUCAGAAGGAAAGAUUUAGAUUAUGUUCAUGGAAUAAUUUCUACUAGUCUAAAAACAAAAGAGAGCAAGAGAAGGAAGACCAAGAUACGGUUGAAAGUGUACUAAAAAAUCAGGCAAUUUCUCUACUAAAAAGGAGGAACUUUUUCAAAUUCUAGUCAACUGAGAGUGUCAAGUUCAUCCCCAUAUUUUAAUAUUUGUUUGUUUUCUAACAAGAUAAAUGUGAUCUAUUGGUAAUCAUAUUGGUGAUAUUUAUUAAUGCUUAAAAACUUCGAGCUGGCAGCAGCACAUUAAGGUAUGCCAUUUUAAGCAUCAGAUUUGUUCCUGAACUGGCAAUGCAAUCCUAAAUACUAAUUUACAGUAAAGAAGCACUACACUAGAGAUAUAAGGUGGUCAUAAAUUGGAUAAAAUUUGGAGUAUUGCUUUUCGUGUUAUUGCAUGGUCAUCCAUUAAUCCCUCUCCUGACGUCAUCCAUUAUGACACGGGGAAAACAAGGUGAUUGAUUCAGCAUUAAUUGUCACCUAAAUUUUGAGUUAUGCAAGAAAGACAAUAAGUGAGAAAAAUACCAAUUGCGCGGGAGAAGGAUAUCAGAACAUCAGUUGGUGAAGCAAAUGGUCCAAAUGUGAUAAUGGGAUAAGAGGGUUGAGCGAUAAACUUCACAUUAAAUUCUUUGCGCAAAUCAAUCUGUUACAUCAGCAGGUCUAGGUCAUCAAAUUGAGAUCCAUUAAUAGAUAUAGAAAGUACAUCAGAAUUGGAAACUACCUCACAACGCCUUGUGGUAUCCGCAAGCACCCCAAUUGCCCCUCCAUCGGGAAGGACAGCAAGCACCCAAGGAUGUGAUUGGUAUAAGGUGCUGGUUCCAGGUCCAUAACCCCAUGCUGGUGUGUUCCACAAAAAUACCUAGAAGUCAUGGAUAAAUUUUCGUCUAAAGUACAUUUAAAAAUAUAGCCUCAAGAAAACCAAAUAAAUUGACAUACCCGCUUUCCUGUUCGUUCAAGCUGACCACUAACCUCUCCUGUUCCGUAGAAAGAUGUACCAUAUGGAAACUAAAUCAUGAAAAGAUUCACUUAGGUCAUUCUUGAUUUUUUUUUUGGAUAAUGACAUAAUUAUCACAUGAAAGAGCACGGAUGAAAAGGCAAACUUACAGAAGAUUUUGCAAUACGUAAUUUACCUCAAUCUUAACAAUCUGUUGCCCAAGAACACAUUCAAAAGUAGGAAUAUAUGAUGGAACUCUAUGAUCACUAGAUAUUGGUGUCUCUCUACCCACAGGGUUGACAAAAGAAACACUUGGAAAUGCAGCAUUUCUGUCAUCUGUGGAACAAUCGAAACGGAAAACUCCAUCCUCCAGGAUAGGCUCAAAUAUCAUAUUCCCCGAUCUUAUAUCACCAGUCACUGCUGUCCCUUCACGUCCAGCCAUCUGAGAGUAAACUAAGAUUGCAUCAAUAAAUCUCUUAUUUUCAUCCUUUCUUCUACAUUCCACGGGAUGAUAUCAGAACAUAUUUCCAGGAAAACAUUGACAAAUGACUAAAAUAUCAGUAAAACAAGAGAUUUUAACAUUAGAUCAAACCUUCUCAUCAUGGGAAACUGAUUACCCAUCAUUAAAACAGAAAAUGACUACUUAUAUAUCGAUUACAUGAAUACCACAGGACAAAGGAUUGCAUUUUAUCAAUUGCAUGCAGAAGAAAUUUGCAGUAGAAUCUGAGACUUCAUUAAAGGAGAGCUGCUCAUCUUUACUUAAGCCUUAGCGCUUACUCCAUGCCGAUGUCUUGCAAUUUGUGAAAUAUUACAACUCCUUACUCCCUUUUUAUAGGCCAAAGAAUUCAAACUCAACAAAGAUACUACCUCUACAAUGCAUGAACAAAAUCCCUUACUGUGCUUGACCAAAUUAGAGAAGUUAAAAUCAAUUCAGAGUACUUUACAUGAUUACCCAAAAAUACAUGACCAGGAUCAGUUUACUUGUACCUGAUCAAUCCAACAUAAAAUAAACAGGUGAACUUAAAAGUAUCUAAAUGUUGAAACACUUGCACAAGAGUAAUGAUCCAAAAUUAAUUCAUCCACACAUUCAAGUACUAAGAGUUCAGUCCAUCAACCAAAUUCGUCUGAGUCUACAAAUUUCCUAAAAAUUUAAGGGUAUAAAAAUGAAAAAGGCAACUAUCCACCUAACAAACUUAUAUGCAUGUAAUUAAACUGAAAUCAACUAGAUUCAUGUUAUGGAACUGAUGAACUGGCAUCAAAUUUUAUGGGAACAACUAACCUGUUUGAGUUUGAGAAGAUGCCUAGGUGGAAGCAAUGCAAGAAGUUGGGUUUCCUCACUGACCCAUUUAAGAUUCUUGAAUUGAGACGCCAACUACAUGCAGUAGAAAGCCCACACGUGUACUGAUUUUUUUGGGGACAAAAGCAAUGGCCGACUUGCUUUAGUACUAAGAAGAAGUGCUUUUUCCGUCUGGGAUUCAUGAACCAAUAAAUAAUUACACUCUGUAUAAUAAUUAAUUCACAAAGAUUAAUAGCUAAGGCAAACUUCUUGAAUUGACAAUGUGUUAAUUAGUAGUACCAUAAUAAUGUUUUGUGGGGCUUAAAGAUUCUUGCUUGUUGUUACAGCGAGCGGACCUACGCCGAUAGGAUAACAUAUAUUUAUCCACCAUUAUGAUUGUUAAGUACAAAUUUGUCCGGACAAGUGGAGAGGUGUUUGAAAACUCUGCAGACAUCAAGACAAGGGAUCGUCCCUACUCUUUCUGUCUGGUUUUAAAAAGUGCUGACUUCUUGCCGGACUGAUAAUGGCUUGUAAGACACGUGGAGGCGUAGAGAAAUAUAUGGGUGAGGGAAGUUUAGAAAGUGCCACAGAAGUGGUAAAGUCUGGAUAGUGUCUACAAGAUAAGUUCUAAUUUAUGGUUAACUACUUGUAAAAUCUCAUAAACAAGAUGUACUUAUUAUGUGGAGAUGGAUAUAAAUAGUGACGAAAUAUCACAAUUUUAUUGAAACAAUGUUGCAUAUAAGAUUAGAAUUUUCAACCAUGAAUUAUAAAUUAUAAAUACGAAAUUGAAACAGACCAUAUGCUCUCUCCUACUCUCACUUAUGUUUGCUCUAAUGAUGGAAUAAUGCACAAACUUGGUUGAUUCAAAAGCCUAUAUGUAGAGGUACAAAUGACCAUUCUCGUCAUUGAUUAUUGAUAAAGGUCAUUGAAUCUUGCUCCUUGAUAAGAUAACUCUUAUCAUGAAUCACUUGUUUCAAAAAAUGUACUUACAUAGUAAAAAAUGUAUAUACUUUAUUUAUAUAUAUGAAGUUUUCCAUAUAUGUAAAAGAUAAGUUCAUUAAUCACUUAAUUUAGAUUCAUGACGUCAGUUAUAUGUAAUUCAUUAAUUAGGUUCGUGAUUAUCUGUAUAUGUACUUUAUUACAUUUAUAUGGUCAACAAGUAAUUAAUCUAACAUGUUACACUAUUCAGAACUAUAACCAUUCCUGCCCUUUCCCUUACUAAAAAGGGCAGUAACCUUAACCCUGUUAAACGAAACUGUAAUUUAUUGUAAACUCUUGCUUGUCAUGUGGUGUUUACAGGUUUUUUGUUUAAAUUUGGAUUGUGAGAUAUUUGAUAAAACUUAAGAAUCAUUAAAAGUAUAAAUCAAUUGUUCAUGGAUUUUGUAUCUCUACAACCAUUUGAUUAGUUAGGAGUUAGGUAUUCAUCUAUUCAAACUAUAGUUCACAGGAACAUUAUUGUUUGUUCACUGAUGUAACAUUUAAAGAAAGAAACAAAAGAAGAAAUGAUUGAAAUAGUCCUUCAACUUUUUUAAUAGAAUCAUUUUUGGUCCUCAUACUUUAAGUAAAUUAGUAACUUUAAGCUUCUGAAAUGCUAUAUCUGCUGCAAAAUCCCAAAUGAAUAGCUUUUCUUUCAAAUAAAUCAAUGUGUUUUUGCCAUACACCAUGCCCCUCUACAAACCUCCUAUAAUAACUAGUCCACCUAAGAAAACCUCUUAGAGCUUUUAUACUAGUAGGAGGAGGCAAAGUCGGCAUUGCCUUAAUCUUAUCUGGAUCAGCACGCACACCUGCACUAGUAACUAUAUGCCCGGAAUACUGUACCUUGUCUUGGCCAAAUGAAGAUUCAUACAUCUUUGCUUAGAGAGAGUGUGUUCUAAAAGUUUCAAGGACAAUAGAUAAAUGAUGCGAAUGAGUUUGAUAAUCCGGUUGUCGAUCAAGAUAUCAUCAAAAAAUACAAAACAAAUUUUUUGAUGUAUGGCUGAAAUACAGAAUUCAUCAAAAGUUUGAAAGGGGGCAAGUGCAUUUUUCAAGCCAAAGGACAUAACAAGAAAUUCAUAUAAACCAGAAUGAGUUCUCGAUGCAUUUUUUUGAAUGCCAGCAGGAUCCGUUUUUAUUUGGUGGUAUCUUGACCUUAAGUCUAUUCCUUAAAAGACAUUUGCACCAUUUUGUUCAUCUAGAAUAUCACAUGGGAAAUUUGUCUUUGAUGGUUGAACUGCUUAAUUGUCAUUGGUCAAUGCAAAGCCUCCAGCUCCCAUCUUUCUUUUUGACUAGAAGAGCUGGUGAUGCAAAAGACUGUGGCAUUUCUGUAUAAUUCUAGAAGAUAAUGUUUUUCACGUGUCUGUGAAUUUUAGUCUUCUCUAAAUGAAGAUAUGUGUAUGGAGCAAAUUUGAAUGGUUUGGCAUCUAGUUUAAGGGGAAUUUGGUGGUCUUGAAUUCUUGAUGGGGGUAAGGACGUAAGGUUUUAGGUUCAACACAUUUUUUUUAUUUAGUAUAAUUGCAUUAUUUGCCAAAAAAUUUUAUUCUACAAUUAACUACUAUUUUAUUUCUUAUGCACAACUCUAACUUAAAUUAGACACUCAUAAUACUUACUUAAACUUAGAUAAUUAAAGUUACAUAAUUAACUUGAUCGAGAAUUAAUAACUAAAACAAAUAACAAAAUUAGUUUCAUAAUUUAAAUCUCAUAUUUCUGAUGAUUUUAGAUAGUUUAAAUUUGCUAAAUAAUUAGUUGCAAAAGGUCUUCCAAAAAGUUAAAAAAAAAGAGGUAAAAAAAUUAAACAUAUUAAGUUGUUGUGUCUCACAGCAGAUUAAAAAGAAAAAUUUAAUACAACACGCCGGGCUCUUUUUAUGAAUUGGUCAAUUUAUAACUAUUGGAACGGGUACCCCUUUUUUUAAAAAAAAAAAGAAGUUAAAACUAAUAAUUUGACCCACUCGAGGAACAUAUAUUGAGAAAUGCCCCAUAUUGUAGCCACAUUUUUUCAAUUUUUCAUUUUUGGGCAAUACUCUAAAAAAUUUCCCCUCCUAAAUGAUUUGUAAAAUUUUUAAAUGAUUUGCAAAAUUUGUCCUACCAAUGGAAAGUAAAAGUUUAACCAUUUUACAUAUAUAUUCCGUUUUAGUAUGAAAAAAGAUCAAGGUUAAUAGAAAAUUAAAAUGAUUAAUCAAUUGCUACAAUUUAAUUGAAGUGAUCCGAAUUUUGGGCAUAAUUUAUUGUGACGUUAAGAUAUUUGUUCCAACAUAAGAUUUAAUGAUUACCCAAACCAGUCCAUUCUAUUAUUAUUAUUAAUUUACAAAUAUGACAACAAUACGAAGAUUGACCCAAGACUUGGAUUUCUUGGGUUCAAAUUUCUCUUUCCUUUCCCAUUUCUUAAAUUUCACCCUUCCUGGACUAGGAAAUAAAUUAAAAAAAAAAAGGAAGAUUGACCUUUUCAUUUUAUGUUUAAGUGCACAUAAAUAUUGAGUAAACAAAUUAGGUAGGUACUCGUUUUUUCUUUUUUCUUUUUUGAACCGUUUAAUCUUGCAUUUCUUCUUCAAUUUUGGGUAGUCAUCAAUUAUUUGGUUCUCUGCUUAAUGCUCGUGCACUUCAUCUUUAAUUUCGUGCGAGCAUCAAUUAUUUGAUACGUGAGAUUCCCAUGUUUUCAUAUUGUUAUAGAUGUUGAGUAAGCCUAUAUGCAAGUCUGAUUUCAUUGGCAAUUUACAACCACAUAAUCAAAUUUAGUUAAAGUCCCAAUCUAUUGCAGAUCAAGUCGUUUUCAUGUAACAUAUGGAUAUAACUAGAGACAAUUUUCAGUGUUAUCAAACAUAAGACUUUCAUGCUUAGAGACUGGUUUGAAGACACCUUGCUUACGGUACCCCCUCUCCCUCUUCUCAUGGUAAGGGUGUAUAUCCAAUGGGUACCUUAGGCAGUCAAUUAAUUUUCAAUAUCGAAACUCGAACUUGGGCUCGUGUAAGGUAUAGGGAGCUCAAAUUCAAACUCGAAUGCGCUCAAGAAGCAAAUUGAGAUUGAGUUUAUACUCAAGUUCGAAUAGUAAGACAUAUAAAUUUUUUUAAAAAUAUAGAAUUUUAGGUAAUUUAACAAUUAUGAAAAAAAUAAUAGAAUAUGAAACUCGAAAAGCUCGACGAACUUUCGUGCAGAAUACCUUAAGACUCGAGUUCAAUUCGAUGACCACAUUCAAGCAGCUCAAGCAUGAAUCCAAUUGUUGCUCCCAAAUUACUUUGCUCGUUUGCCACCCCUUUCAAUUGAUAAACAAUUAUACGCAAAAGCUAUCCUUUAGGAAAAAAAUAUCUAUCAUUGACUCCAUUCCUUGCAGACUCAAAUGCAAUGAUUUAACUAAUCAGAUCUAACCAAAAUUGUUUUUAACUUAAUUUCACGCUCCACGUUAGUUGUAAUAUCAUGUACUUACUUGAAAGCGGUUGAAUAAAGUCCAGCAACAAAGCUAUCAAAACUUUGUGUAGGAUGAGAAAGCACAAAAAUAACACAUGUCCGGCUUGUACUAAGGAAGAAAAAAAAAAAAGAUAAGAACACGGUCUCAAGCAGUCAAAGUAUGGAAUAAGAUGUAAGCACUUACGUCAUUUCCGAAAUUCAAAAUAUUUUGUUCAGGUCCGCGGGAUUGAAGCUAGAACAAGUCCGUGGAAAACAUCAAGUAAAGUCCAACAUUGAAGUCCGCCAACCUAUAUAAAUAGGUAGAUGGCAUGUAAAGAAGGGAAUUCAACUUUCAACUUUCAAUUCAACUUUGGCAACUCAACUUAGUGAAGAAACCAAAUUAUGUUGUAAAAUUUUCUCUCAUGUCUAGUGAAUAAAGAGAGAGAGAGUAGUCUGUCAAACCUAUCUUAUAUUACAAUCUCUUCAUUAAUAAAAGAAGAAGUUUUCUUCAUAACUUUUUAUGCUUUGCCUCUGAGUACGCUUAGAGAUAGGAUACAAAACUAAAGGAAGUCACCUGGUCGUUGGAGGUUGCAACGCCCAAGUAAGAAGUUCUCGGGGAGGUAAUCAGAAUUUUGUCGACCAAAAAUCAGAUUUAAGAUAUGAAAGCGUGUUGGAUCCUUUUCUUUUGUUAAUAAGAAAUUGUUAGUUUAAAUAUGGUAUACACUCUAUUCUCUUGUAAAUUUUAUGAAAGAUACGUCAAACCUGUUUAGUACCUUAUCAAUAAAUAUAAUACAUCCUGAAUGCACUCUAUAAAUAAAAAUAUCUUUUACAUAAAAAAUCAUAAAUAUAAAUAUCAUGUUAGCCAACCCAAACUUAAAUUUUGACUUAAAUUUGGGCACCAAAUACAUAAAGGCUUGAGCUUGAUUCUAUGACCAUAUUUGAGAAGCUCGAGCUCGACUCUAAUUGUGAUUGAAUUGCUCGCGAAUUACUUGCUUGUUUGCCACCCCUAGUCAUUUAAUUGAGUAAACAAUUAUACGCAAAAGCUAUCCCUUCAGGGAAAAAAAAUCUAUCAUUGACUCCUUUUCUUGCAGACUCAAACGCAAUCAUUUAACUAAUCAGAUCUAACCAAAGUUGUUUUUUAACUUAAUUUGCACGCUUCACGUUAAUUGUAAUAUCAUGUACUUGCAAGACCUCCAACGCGGGCAAUUUCUACCUUAGGUAGGGACUAGGGAUUGAAGAUUGUAUCUGCAUCUGUCCAAUGCAUUUCAAUUUGAUUAGAUUCCCACAAUUAUUUCCUCAACUGAAUGUUUGAUAAACUGGACUUAUUGUUGCAUCCAACAUGUUUUAAGGCUACUGAUCAUUCCAGCCAACAGCUGAUUGCUGAGGGGAGAAAAUUCCCAAUUCUCAACCCACAAAAAGUGACUUCUAUAUUACAAGGAGGACCAAGUAG
rnacentral:lncRNA from 1 species